UUAAUGAGAUAUAAUAAUAAUAAUAAUAAUAAUAAUAAUAAUUUCAGUGAAGAGUCUUCUAUAACGCCUCAUUAAAAAUGCUCUGAUCUGCUACCACGUAUUAAUUUUGGUUUCAUCCAAGAAUUCGUAAGAUGUUUUUCAAUACUAAAAUCUUUAAAAAAGAAAAAUUCAUCCUACAGAUGACAAUCGAUUGAAAGCUUUUCAAUGAGGUCUCUCCACCAAAGAUUUUCCCCCAAAACCCUUAUGGCAUGUGCUCAGUUUGAUUCUAUUUUAAAGUAGAACAUUUACUAGGAUUCUAGUCAAUAAGGAAAUCUGACACUGAUAACAUGCUUUUUCACUGCCAAAUUAGGCUACAUCAAUCAAAUUCCAGGGAAAACCACUAUUUUCAAAAUUACUUUAACAAACAAAACUGUUACAUUAUCUCACUAGACUCAAUCCAACUGUAUCAGCACUACAGGAUCUACCAAGAAAAGUGAAAAGGAAAGAGAAAAAAGGUCAUAUGGCUAUACACAAAUAUAUGCAUCUUUCUCCGCAAUUUACAGACUGUUAACGCCGCACAUGGUUAACGGAAGUCGACAUCCUUUGUUGAUCCACCCCCAGUGAAUGAGAAGAUGAAUUCAACCACAUAUUAUGGACAUUUUGGUGAUUUAAUUCAACAAAAGUCGCGGGAUUUUCAAACAAGGUAGACCAUCCCCACCUCCAGAGUAGAAGCAUGAGGUAUUGUAGCAGCAUAAGCAGGACCUCUGCUAUUCCUCCUCAAGAAUUCGUAGCCGAAGUUGAUUGCGAUCCGCUUUAUAAAACUAGACCCGCUCUUUGCUCUCAUGUACGAGUGCCCGAGUAUAAAGGCCAUUCCAGCCUCUCUCGCCUCCGUCAGCUCUUGUAACUCCUCGCGCGCCGCGAUGUCUAGUUGAGGGCUCUUGGGUAACAAAAACCUCACUCUUUUCCUUUUCGGGAAUAUAAUUGGAGAUUUUAUUUCCUUUUGAUCGGACGGUCCGGGUGGCUCGUUCAACUCACAAUCCUCCUCGAAUAACCGGACCGGCGUCCCAACAACCGGCAUUUUCCCACAAGGCUCCUCGAUCUCUUCCAAAUUGUCGUGGUCGGGUCCUCCGGAACGGACGAACUCCGCAAUGCUGCUGACUAGAUCCUUCUCGAACUCCAGGUCGUCCUUCUGCACGUCUCGAUAGCCGUACAUUACGAUAACCCUGUAGAUCCUAUAGUCUUUCGGGCCAAUGCGGCCCACGACGAAGCGCUCCUCGGGUUGGACGUGGGGCACCGGGAUGGACUUCACACAGAGGAAGACGAGAACCUAGAGAAGAUUAAAAAAUAUGAAAAAAAAAAAAGAAGAACAUUUCUAAUCAAAUUAAAAGAGAGGUUACUUACAAACUCAGUCCCUACAAUCCGGUCCCAACUUCACAGACUAAGUUUGUACCGAGCCCUCGAAAGAAAAUUUAUGGUUUUAUACCUGAUGAAAUGCAGGUAGGUUGGUGACAAAGUGGGAGAAGAUGGCGGGAAUUCCUGACACUAGCUCCGUGUGUAUGAGACCGAUGCCUCGCACACGAACAAUCCCAAGGGAAGGCCCAAGGUUGAGGAGCCAACCUAUCGAAACCCUGUUUUGCACGUCGAACUCGUACUUCUUGAGGGUGCCGUAAUGCCACGUGUACAUGAUCGUCAUGAAGAUGAAGGAAAGGGCAAUCGGGACCCAUGCCCCUUCUAGAAACUUGAUCAAGGAAGCCGAGAAGUAGAAGGCUUCGAUAGCUCCAAAGAAGAGGAGGAAGCAUAGGGCGAAGAAGAUGCUCCUGUGCCAGCACAGGACUAUCACUAAGGACAUCAAGCACGUGGUAACCAACAUGACGGUUAUAACUGCCAAUCCUGCAAAAGAAAAUUGUAAAUCACGCGGUGGUAAAUUGCUCUACAUUUCAUCGCGCUGUUAACUACAAAAUCGUUGCAAAGAGCAACACAGUUAAAUACAUUUGAGGAGAGUAGCUAAAACAAACCAAAACAUUACCUGAUGCAUUUCCCAACCGCUUUGUGUCUCUGAAGCCAAUAGUAACGGCAAGGCACAAUAUCAUCAAGAUCCAGUUGAUCUCCGGGAUGUAUAUUUGCCCGUGUACCUUGGACGACGUAUGCACUAUCUUCACCCUGGGAAAGCAACUUAAGGCGGAGCACUGCUUGAUAAUUGAGAAGGUGCCGGUUAUAACCGCUUGGCUACCCACCACCGCCGCAAGUAUAGCAAUCGCCAGGACCGGCCAUCUGAUUUGUUCUAGAAGGAGAAUUUCAUAAACGUAAGCGCAUUAUGGAAAUAAAGCCAUUAUUAAGCACAUUAUGUUUUCUACAUAUUGAAGAAGUACCUGGCACGGACACAUAGAAGCCAAUUCUGUAGCUGCUUUCGAUGGCGUGGUGUUGCGAGAGAUAAGCAGCCUGACCCAUGUAUGCUAGGAUAAGGGCUGGAUAGACCACGGAAGUAAAUGCGAGCUGCAGAAAAGCCACUACAGUUUGUCAAAUAAGCUAGCUUACUAUCCGAAAUGGAGCACGAAGAAGCAGGAUUUCUCAAGCUAGUAAAGAACAAGGAUUCGUUUCGAAAGUAGCAAUUUAGAUACCAACCCAGCUUAGCAUCAUUUGCAUAUUUGAAGACGUGAAUUGCAGGAAUUGAAAGAGGUAUGUUCUCAGAUAUCUGUUCUGAUGAGGUUGUAAUCAUUAAGUUCCAGAAUGACCCAGGUGGUCGGGUUUACUUUAGGAGGCAAAGAUAAAGAAUACAUGGAAAUGUAUAUAAGAAAGCUAUCAGCGGGUAUACUUAAAAUUUGAAGAACAGCGGAAUUCUUGUUUAAUUUGACUCAGAAAAACAAAGAGUUCUGUAUCAGAAGAACGAAAGUGCUAUCACCAUCUCAUACCUUUAUCGAUGACUGAGAGAAGUGUCCUAGAUCUGCAUACAUAGCUUCAGAUCCUGAGGGGGAAGAAAAGAAAAGAUCAUGUAUCAUAUUCACGUGAAUCUACCAUGUUGACAAACAAACGAUUCCUAGAUACCUGUUAUGCAGAGAAGUAUACCGCCUAGCGACAUCCAGCCGCCUCUUCGGGUCUUCUUCAGAAAAUUGUACAUGUAGUAUGGCGAGAGGGCUCGGUAUACACGAGGGUUCCAGUGAAUAAUGUUGUAGGCACCGAUGCCGCUGAUACACAGAAGCCAAGCGACGACGAUCGGUGCGAAUAAAAACCCUACUCUGUGGGUGCCGUAAUGUUGCAGGGCAAACAAGCCAACCAAUAUGACACAUGCCACAGGAACCUCGACAUCUGCAUAUCAAUAGGCCUCUUAAAGAUUACUAGCAUAAAUUGUACCAUAAAAUAGAUGAUCUACGAGAGUUUACUGCCGCAGUUGCGCAUAUGAGCGCAAACAACAAUAUGUUCAUCUAAAUGCUAACACAUGGCCAUACUAGCCGGCAUAACAAAUCAAACAAUUGUCGAUGCUCGCACGAAACUUUACCACUAUUUUGUAAGUCUAAAUAAAUGAUAAUAAUAACCAAAGAGCAGAACUUUCUCUUACAUUUGUGCUGCUCCUUCUCCAUGGAGAGCUCGAGUCCUGAGACCGCCGAGAAAACUGCGCACCGCAGAGAAUUAUUUCGCCGCAAAAUUAGAUCAAGACCGAGAACAGGAAGGAACUACACAGAGAAUCAAAUAAACAGGGCACGAACCGGAGACCGCGGGAGUAAGCACACCAUCACCGAUCACCAUACAAGUCCCAAGCAGCGCAAAGAUCAACAGCAGCCUCUGAAGCACCUGGUGCUUCUCCAGCAUCGUCCUAACUCUAGAAGCGGCCGAGGCGGAGCCAUUCGGAGCAUUCGCCGCGCACGACGCCGCCGCCGCCGCCGCCACGGCGUCCUCGCAAUCGGCGGGGCGGGCGCCGGGGACGAAUCCGAUGCCGGCGCGGCGGCAAAUGAGGGAGUAGAGCGCAAAGGUGCCGCCUUCGCCAUUGUCGUCGGCGCGGAGGACGACGAACACGUACUUAAAAAGGGGGAUUAGGGUUAGGGUCCAGAAGACGAAGGAGAGCACCCCGUAGAUCUCGUCGUUGGUCUCCGAGUGCUCGAUGUCGCCCCCCGAGAAGGCGCUCUUGUACACGUAGAGCGGCGACGUGCUCAAAUCGCCGUAGACGACGCCGAGGCUCUGGUACGCGAGAGCAAACGCCGCUCGCCAUGAAUUCACCCUCUGCGACCAACAAUAACCGGUUCAAGAUCCCACCUUUACCGAUAAUAACCGCAAGAAUAGCGAGAAUAAGCAAUACCCAUUUCGUUCCACACCUUGUCGGGCUCGCCGGAGCCCCCGCGCUCGACGUCCAUGGCUCGACUCGGAGUUACAGCCCCAAAGCACGCACCUUUCGCCUCUUCAUGAAGGGAAACAGGGGAGGGGAGUGUGGGGAGUGUAGGGAGAGCGGAGGCGGAGGCGGAGGCAACGAAGGGGGAGGAUGUGGAGCUUCCACAGAGAUAUUCGGGGAAAGAGGAGAUUAAAAUAAUGGGUGGGGAGGUAGAGAUAAAAAUGGCUUCUUUCUCCUUUGGUUGCUUUCACCACCUCUGUAUCUUAUGGACACAAACAUAAAUGGCUUUUCGUCCUAUUCAGCAGGAAUGGAAGUAGAAGAAACAGUUUCUGGGAGCUUCUGUAGAGAGAGGGAGAGAGAGAGAGAGAGAGAGAGAGAGAGAGAGUUAUUUGGUAGUAUUAUGAAGGGUGCAGUAGAGGUGUAGAUGAUAUAUAGAGUGUGGGUGACUUUUUACUUUUGUGGGGGAGUGAAAGAGAGAGAAACAGGUAGAGGGGAUUGUUUAUGUGUUAUAUAAGGCAAGUUGAUAGGUGGUGUCCCUUUUACUAUUAUUUCUGUUAGUGCUCUGAGGUACUUAUCAUCAAAAGCCAAAAAAAGGUUUUGUACUAAAAAAAAAGCUUCAAAAUAAAACACAUAAAAAUGACAUUGGGAUUGGGUGUUGAUUAUUUCUCUUCUCAAAUUAGCCUCCUCUUAAGAUUCCAUCAUCAGAAAGGAUAGCUUUAUCUUCUUCUUAACAUGUUUAAAGUAUUAUUUCUUCAAAUGAGUAAAGGUUUAGACACAUUAAUAUCAAACAUUCAGUUAAUGAUUAGUGGUCACAACGUAUGUAUCGCGUAGCACUCUUUGUGUUCAUGCAUCAUCCACUUUACUUUUUUGCAGUGAAUCUUUUCUCUAAAGAAAUCAAACCUUUGUUGCUCUAAAGAGAAAUGAAAACUAAGAGGUUUGACUUUAUUUUGACAAAUAAAUAAAAUAAAAACUUAAAAAGAGGGGAAUAAAAAAAAAAAGCUAAAUUAUAAAAAAUUUUCUGUCAAUAUCCGUUUUUUUUUUUAUUUUUCCCUCCUGUUAUUCAAAAAUCUAUACUUUACCGGUUUAUCUUUUUAAAAAAUAAAAAUAUUUACAGGAGAGUACGUUGUGACAAAAUGACCAAAUUAUUUUUUAUCAGACGGAGAGGUGGGCGAGAGUGAGGGUGGGGCGGUGGAGGCGAGCGAAGGCGUGUGUGUGUGGGCAUAGACAGAGAGAGAUGGGCGAAGGCAAGGCAGCGGAGGACGAGGCGGCAUGGCGGAGGGCGAGGUGGCGCGGCCAAGAAUGAAGAAGAAUGAGGAUUUCAGAAAUAUUUUGGGUAUAAAAAAUAUGAUAUAAAUGGAACAGUGCCGGCGAGGGUCAAAAUAAAUUGUGUAGGCUUUUGAAUGACAAGAAGAAAAAAAAAAAUAUAUUGACAAAAAAAAUUUUCUGUAAUUUAGCCAAUAAAAAAAAUAAUGCUAGUGGAUAUGCGAAUAUUGUUCUCUGCAAUGAAAAGUAAGGAAGAGGAUAAGAAAGGAUCUUGAGAGCCAGCGAAGGAAACAGGAAAAGUGUAUGCAUCCACCAACACAUGGACUUAGAAAACGAAAGCAUGAGAAGUGGUGUGUGUGUGUAGUGGUUCCAACAUGUUCCUUUUUUUUUUAGGUACAUGUUUGAUGGGCAACGCAUCCUGUGCUUAAAGCUACACAAAGAAUGUGCAUGAUGACGUGAAUCCUCCUCCUUUUAUUCCUAUAGAAUAGAAUGUCUCCAAUUAAUUCCUUUUUAAAUGCUAAUGAUUGCGCGCCGCAAUGCUUAGCAUCGAGAGGGAAUCUAAAUUUCGUUAAGAUCGUCGAGAUCGACGAGUGAUCAAAUCGUCGCGGUUUAGGAGAGGGUCGAGAUGGAUGAAGCACUUGCCUCCGCAUUGCUCGCUAUAUCGAGGGAGCUUUUAGAAAACGACAGUGGCUACGACGACAGCGAUGUAAAUGUCGACGAUCUCAAUAGGUGGAUGGCUGAGUUGAGGGAGAUAGUAAUCGGCGUUAAGCCCCAGAAUUUGGGUGCAAAGUAUAUGGACGACGAAACUCCAUGGUGGUCGGUAACAUGGUCAAGUUGAUUCAAAACGGUUUGAUAUAUAGUAAAGUUACAAGAAGGCCACUAAUGGUCUUUUUAUUUUAAGAAAAAACUUCAAAUAUCAUUUCUGUAUUUUCACACUUUUUUAUUUUAAUACCAUAUGUUUAAAGUGUGUUAAUUUAGCAUCUGGCAGCGGUGAUUUCAUUUUUCUCUUUUUAUUAUCUCUUGCACUAAUUUUUCAUUAAAUCAACGACAAAGUUAAAACUGAAAGAUAUUAAAGUGAAUGUUCAAUAAAUCUAGUUGAGUAUCUGAAGUUUUUGUAUAUAUAAUUUAACGAAAUGUUAACAGAGAAGGUUAUGAAAAGAGAAAAAUAAAACCGCAGAGUAUUAAACUGAUAUAUUUUACACAACAGGAUAUUAAAAUGAGAAAGUGCGAAACAACAUGAUGGUAUUUAAAGUUUACCCUUAUUUUUAUUUUUUGUCGUAUGCACAAUUGGAUAAUUUAUAAUGGAAUUAUACAUUGAAGUAUGAACAGCAUCAUCAACAAAAUAAUCCUAAUUCUUAACCCGAAUCAAAACAUAAUCCCAUCUAAUUUAGAGUGGUAGGUUGUUCAUUUGUCUUGUUCUCCUUUAGGGGGUAGUUGAACCUACAAAAUGUGGUGCGUCUUGAGCACAUUUUAGUUUUACUAUUUCAUGCUUUAAUUGUGAGCCAUUUAUAUGUGAUUCCAACUCACUUGUUCUUGUGACGCAUUAAUUGCAAGUGUGGCCGCCUAACUUCAAAUUCUAUACAUUUAAAAUCACAAAAUUGGGAAAUUAAUUUAUAAGAAAAAUUACUUUUCAUUAUAGCAAUUGUAGCAAAUAAAUACUGAUUAAUUACUCUUUGUAACCGAGUAUGGAAUCAAUAACUCAACUUCACCUUAGGAUCAAUGUGUUAUCCGGAUGCAUCCGUUUUAAUACUUUUGAAAAACAGUGUGCUCGUUCUUUUAGAAGAUGCCUCUUACGGCAGACAAUCUGCUCAAGAGAGGAUGGACGAGAAAAACAGAUUAUGUGCUGUGAGGGAUGGAAUAGAAAACUGUGAAUCAUUUAUCCAGGUAAUGUGUUUUUAAUAAAUUUCUUUUCAUGAAGGCCUAGGAGGGGAUCCAAUUUAUAAAUUUAGGAGAUGAUGUGAUUACCGUAUGGAAUAAGUGGUUAUCAAGGAAUAAAUCACAGCAAGCUUGUACUAGACCGAGCGGGCUGAUAGCCUACUGGUGGGUCAUUUGGAAUGUAAAAAAUGGUGCAAUUUUUGAAAAGACUAUAAGAUCAGGUAGUUGAUGACUUCGUGGGAAGAAUUUUUCUUGGCUAAUUAGCUACUUCGCAGACUAUAACUCCAAACAGUAACUGACCCUGCGAGAAUGAUUUUUUUUUCUUUUUUUUUUUUCGACCGAGAUUUAUUAGAUCUUUCCUGUAGUCUAAUUCAUCCUUCUAAUGAAUGAUUUUUGAGAAACAAACCGUCAUUAAAAAAAAAAAAUCGUAGUACUUGUAUAUAAAAGGAUUUAAUUUUUUGUAAAAAAAGCUAAUAUAUCAAAAUAGUUGUAAUUGAAAAAAAAAAAAAAAAACCCCUCUUAUGAAUCACAAUAUGAUUGCUUUUGACACAUUUCCUAGAAGUGGUCCAAAGAAAAUGGGAGAAUUGUUGCAACGCCACAUAUAAACCCAUACAAUUGUUUAUCUUUGCUAACGCCAAAGUCGCAUGUGGGUCAUUUUCUGAAAAGCGCUUUUGAAUUUUGAUCGCAGCUCUUCGCUAUAAACGCAGCGGACAUAAGCGCUUACCCGCUGCAAAAAUUAGGUUUCUGUUAACAUCGUUGCCUCGUUGGACCACGAAGAGGGGGGAGCUUCGUGGCAAACAAAUGGACAUUGUAAUAAUAAUAAUAACGUUAUUAUAUUUUUAUUUUAUUUUAUUUUAUUAUAUAUAUUAUAUUUUGAAUAAAUAGGUCAGAGCACGGAUUUUGACUAAUGAUCCACCAGGGCAAAAGGGAUUAUGGAUGGUAAUCGUAGAUAACACCAUCCGAGAUUCCCAUACAAUCGUAAUCAUAACACGACGUGGAAUUACACAUCGUACGAUCCCAUUGUGGAUUAAUGUGAGCUCGAUCGUCGUUUUUUGACGGGUCAACGUAUUUAUUUAAUUAAUCCCAUAAUUUGUCACAAUUAAUCCCAUGCGACACCAAGACAAAAGUUACACGAGAGGACAAAUUUUUCUUUUUUCUUUUUUUUUUUGUGUGUGUGUUAGGUGGACUAAUAUGAGUCCAAGAAUGUUUAGGCUUAAUUAUACUCUACUGCAUUGCAUUUUAGUAUUAUUUUUAUUUACUAUUUAUUACAUUAUUAUUGUUUAUUGAUAAAUUUAUUUUUAUUUUUCUAUCUCGUAUCAAUUUUUUUCUAAUAUAUAUUACUGGACUCUUUUUUCCCUCAAUCUCUAUAUUACUGUUAAUAAAAUUAUUAUUUUAAAUAAAAUCUAAAGACUUUAUUAAGAAACUCUCAUAAAAUAUAGAAAAAAAAAUAAAAUAAUUCUUUAUGACAGAUAAAUCUUUAUAACAGACUUAUUAAAAGUUUCUAUUGAAUUAUUUUUUUAUUUUUUUAUGUUAAAAUAAGUUGAAUACAUGUAUUGCCACUUUUGACAAGCAUUUUUUAACACAUUUGUUGCGUAUAGUGUAAGAAUUAAAAAAUAACAAUAAUAAUAAGAGGCCAUUAAAUUACUUUUCUUUUAAGUGAGAAACAAGAAUCUGUAAAGUGUAAUAUAGGAGUUUGCGCUUUUUGUUUUCUGGGUUUUUGAUCGAGAUCGACCCAUGUUUCUUUGUUUUGUUCGCCUUACUAGGCUAUUCCUGUAUCCCUUGGUUCUGACUGUGUUAAAAUAGGGUAUAUCUCUGUUUAAUUCAAAAAAAAGAAUCUGUAAAGUAUAAUACAGUAUAGUAUAAUUAAGUCAAUAGAAUAUGGUAUCGUUCUUUCUCAAGCCAUUAAAUUACUUUUCUUUUAAGAAAAUUAUGAGAGGCCUAAGUUAUAAGAGGCAUAAGUUAACCUUGAUAGCUAGAUUUGAGAGACCACAGUAAAUAAAUGGUGUCCAACCUCAUCUUAAUAUAUUGUUAGUUGUUCUUUUGUAGAAGUGGUAAACUUUUUACUACUACGUGGGCAAAAAUAUCCUACACAUUGAACGAUCCGACAGCUCACUGGCAAAAUAAAUGAAUCCGAAAGGUUCAAUCAUGAACAAAACUUUUUAGAAUUUUCUACGUACGAAGUUACGCAUUAGCUCAGUGCAGAAUUUUUUAUAUCUCACUUUUUCAUUUCUUGUCAGAGCAGGGACAAUUUUGACACACCUUCCUCAGCAUCCCUUAAAUCCGUGCGACGGCCCAAAGGAUUAUAUAAAGAAUAAUAAGAUCCUAAGCUACCGUUUGUUUCGGAGUUAAGAAAAAAUUAGUUAUUCCAGAAAUAUGAUUAAAUUUAGGGUUAAGUACGGUUAGAGUAUUUUUGUGUUUGGUUGGAAGUUGGAGUUAGUCCAUGAUAGUGAAAAAUAGUAUUUGGUUGGAGUAGGUGAGAUAAGAAGGAUAGUGGGUUAUUAUGAAUAGAAAAUAGUGUUUGAUUGGGAUUUGGUGUGGUUAGCUAACCCGGAAUAAUCCAUUUUAACUCCACCUAUUUUUAAAAGUGUUUGGAAAUAAAAUGGGGGUUAAGGGGUUAUUCCACUCCUUAACAGAAUAACCCCUUAACCCCCAACCAAACAAUAGCUACGAGCCCAUUGUUCCGAUAAAGCCCAAGCAGUGUAAAAGCCCAGAGACCAAAUAGGCCUUGGCCCCGUACAGUAAUUAAUUGUUGAGCUUAUAUGGGCCCAGGGGCCCAUAAAUCGGUGACACUACACAACUCGUAUAGUGGGCCCAUGAGACCCAACCCAUGUGGAUGUUUGCGAAAACUGGGCCUGCGUCGAUGUGGGUAUAAAUACGAGAGAGGAGGUCGAAGAGACGAUGUGAGCUCCCCCUCUCUCUCUCUCUUCGAGAGCCCUCUUUUGAAGGAGCGAAUCGAACCCUGGUAGAGGAGGAGGAGACGAUUAAAGCUUAAAUCUACUAGGUACUACUCAUCUCCUCUCCUAUACUCCUAUUCUCAUUGUUUGAAACCCUAAUCUCUAAUAAGAAGUUUUGUGGAAACUAGGGUUUUUUUUUUCCCUCGAUUUUAUGCAUAUUUUUAUUAUCUCAUUUUAAUUUUCUUUGGUCUCUGCAAAUUUGGAAUUAAUUUAACAGUUUUUCUGUUAUUUUGAUCUAUUUUUCUCAGGUGAUCUCGCUAAUCUUUGGCGCAGUCACUUUCUCAACACUGAAUUAUGGUUAGUAUUACUUCUUUUUGUUUUUUUUUUCUAAUUAUUUCGCGCUUAAUCCCUUAAAUUAAGCUAAUUAAUGGCUUCAGUUGUAUGUUCUUGUGACCAAUUACUUUUUUUGAGGAUAAAAGAUCAAAUUUCUUGUAGUAACCUCAUAUUUUGUUAUUUGCUCUUCCAUGCGAUUUGGUACUGAAAAUACAAGCGUCGAGCUUAUAGCGAGAGAUUGUGCUACAGUAGUCGAGGAAUUGUUUUUGUUAGCUCGGUAAUGCAGUUUGGGUAUAUAGGAUAACUGCUUAUUUGCUAAAUGAGUCAGAGAUGGCCGAUUAGAGGCUCCGAAUACUGAUGGAGUUAGUGCUUAAUUAUUAGACCUUCUCGUAUCAUAAAUUGCGCGGAAUUUGUUUCUUAUAGUUUCUUCUAUAUGAUGUUAACAUUUCAAAUUUUCCCUGUGGGUAUAUGUUCUUGGUAUGGCUUAUCUAUUAUAAAUUUUCUAUAUGCAGGCUAGUCUUGCUGAUUCCUUCUUAGCCGAUCUCGAUGAACUGUCAGACAAUGAAGAGCACCCUCUUGUGAGUGUCUGUCUCAUUUAUCAUAUUGCAAUGCAUCCUGCAACAUGACAUUCUUGACAUUCUUAAUGCUUUACACUCGAAUCUUACAUAGAACUUAUCUGCCAGGAUGACGAGAAUGCGGAAGCAGGAGAUAUGGAAGAUGAUGGUGAUGAUGAGAUGCCAGAUCUUGAAUCUCUUAACUAUGAGGAUCUUGAUAGUGUUUCGAAAUUGCAGAAGACGCAACGUUACAAUGAUAUCAUGCAAGUAGGUGCAUACAAUCACCAACAAAUUUGAUUUGCUUUUCCAUUUUGCCCAAUGUUCUGCAAUAAUUUCUGACUUAUUUUGGUUAGUUCUUUACUAUUUGCUUCUUUGGAGUUUGGACAAAAUUGUUCAGUGCUUAGUUAAUUUCCUGUUGUUGUUCGUUCAAAGGUCAUUUGGUUUGUCAAUUGCUGUUGCUCAUCUAGUAAGACAGUCGGGGUUCCUAUUAUUGAUAGGAAAUGUUAUCGGUUUUAUCUUUCUGCUGACUUUUGAACUUAGCGAAGUAGGUGGAAUUGUACUUUGUGAAAGUUUACGGCUGUAAUUCUUCUUUUCCUUGACAGAAAGUGGAUGAUGCGCUUCAGAAAGGGUCAGACUUUUCUACCAAUGUGACCAUCUUAGAGGAUGAUCCCGAGUACCAACUAAUCGUCGAUUGCAAUGCCUUAUCGGUAGAUAUCGAAAACGAAAUCAUUAUAAUUCACAAUUUUAUACGUGACAAAUACCGCUUGAAGUUCCCCGAGCUGGAAUCACUGGUUCACCAUCCAAUCGAUUAUGCUCGAGUUGUUAAGAAAAUCGGAAAUGAGAUGGAUUUAACCCUCGUCGAUUUGGAAGGGCUUCUCCCUUCAGCAAUCAUAAUGGUAGUUUCUGUCACAGCAUCAACUACAAGUGGCAAGCCCCUGUCUGAAGAGAACUUACAGAAAACAAUUGAAGCUUGUGAUCGAGCCCUAGCUCUUGAUUUAGCUAAAAAGAAAGUUCUGGAUUUUGUGGAGAGUCGGAUGGGAUACAUCGCGCCAAAUCUCUCUGCUAUCGUCGGUAGUGCAGUUGCAUCUAAGUUAAUGGGGAUAGCUGGUGGCUUGUUAGCAUUAGCGAAAAUGCCAGCUUGUAAUGUUCAGCUUUUGGGGGCAAAGAAGAAAAAUCUAGCCGGCUUUUCUACUGCAACCUCUCAGUUUCGUGUGGGUUAUCUUGAACAAACUGAAAUCUUUCAGAGCACUCCUCCGUCCUUAAGGACUCGCGCUUGUCGACUGUUAGCUGCAAAAUCAACCCUGGCUGCAAGAGUUGACUCGACGAGAGGGGAUCCCACAGGAAAGACCGGAAGGAACUUGCGAGAAGAAAUCCGGAAAAAGAUUGAGAAGUGGCAAGAGCCCCCCCCAGCAAAGCAGCCAAAGCCUUUACCUGUUCCAGAUUCGGAACCUAAGAAGAAGAGAGGAGGCCGCCGACUCCGAAAAACGAAAGAAAGGUAAGCAUUUUUCUUGUGCCACUUUUAUCUUUUGGGAAGUCAGUUUCUGCGGUCAAUUAUUUGAUUUCAUAGCUUGUCUUUUUAACUCCUUUUUGCGCUGGCAAACUUGAAAAUUGACAGAUAUGCUAUCACCGAUAUGCGGAAGCUCGCCAAUCGAAUGCAAUUUGGAGUGCCGGAAGAGAGUUCUUUAGGUUAGUCAUUGUUUUGUUUUGUAUAUUUACUUGCUUAUAUCACAGUUCUAUUCUCCCUCUGGUGAUCUUUGGAUGGCAUUUAUAUGCCUUUUGCUUUCAAUUUACUGGUCCACAAUGUUUUGCGCUUACAUCACAGUUCCAGCGCUUACAUCACAGUUCGAACUGGAUAUCCUAUAUAACAUCUUCUUGGCUUAUUACCAGGUGAUGGCUUAGGCGAGGGAUAUGGUAUGCUCGGUCAGGCAGGAAGUGGGAAGCUGCGCGUAUCGGUUGCACAGAACAAACUUGCUGCCAAAGUGGCUAAAAAGUAAGCCACUGUACUCUAAUAACUUACGUUUCGUCUGCUUCAAGGUCUACUAGAUAUCUAAUUUGUCACCUUGGUCUCUUUGUUGCAUCAUCAGGUUCAAGGAGAAGCUUUAUGGUAGCAGCGGCGCAACAUCUGGGUUGACAUCAAGUCUUGCAUUUACGCCUGUACAAGUAAGUUUGUGGUUCGAUGUCUCAUCCACUACUUUUGAAAGGAAAAGCAUCUUAAGACUUGAAUCGGUUCCAUUACUAUAUUUGUUUACAACUAUGCUUGGCUCAAUUGGUCAGAGAUGGUUAGGACGAAACUCCGUGGUAGUCUCCUCUUAUAUUAGAGCCCAAAAGGGAAAAAAAAUCCCAGUCAGAAUGUGAGUUCCGAAAUUUCAUUUGAACCAAAGAGAAUUCUCAGGCGAAAAGUUAAUAUAUCUGACUCUCCAUUCAGGAGGUCCAAUAACAUGGUUUAUUCAUACAUGCAAAAGAAGAGCAAUUAGUUGUUAUAUAUACUCUUCUAUUAAAUACCCAUCAGUAGGAUCUUUAUUGCUAAUCAGAUUUUGAUGAUUUUGAUGUCCUUGGUACAGUGAGUGUUAAUUUCCUUGUACUGCUAAAUUUUCAAACUUCUUUUAAACUUUUCCUAACAUAGGACUGCACCAGAGUUACGGACUUACGGGAUUUCUGUUAGUCCUUAUUAAAUAAACUUGAUGAUACGUACAAGCUGGUAACACGAAAAGUUUGGAACUCUAAUUUUUAUUUAAGAAGGCCAUCUUACUCAAUUGUUAUGUUUUGUGUAUUUCAGGGUAUAGAACUGACGAAUCCGCAAGCGCAUGGUAACCUGCUAGGAAGUGGAAUUCAGAGCACAUAUUUCUCUGAAACAGGGACAUUUUCAAAGAUCAAGAGGACUUGAAGAAAACUGAACAAGUCGCCAUCACAGCUUAGACGAUUUAGACACCCGGUACUGGCUCUUCUUGAACACCAACUUUUCUUAUUAGCAUCUUACUGUAUCAGUUGUUGAGAUAUAUAGAUAAAAAGUUCUCCGACUCAUGCAUUCUAUAUGGUCACGUUAAGUGAACAACAGAAUUUUCGUGGCAUUCCAUGUGCCAAUCAUGUGCAAAAGAUGACAUGUCUCUGUAGAGUAGGUUUAUGGUUGUUUAAGUUUCGCAACUGUUAGAUCAUCUGACUUGUAUUGUAUUAGUAUAUGCUGUGAUUUCUUAUGUCAAAAAAACCUCAAAAUCAUGUUGUUUUUCUUUUUCUUUUCUUUUUUUGUUUUUUGUCAACGUAUUUACCGCUAGUUGCUUGGUAAGAAGUAUUUGAUAUGGACUACUUGAUUUCCAAGGUGGUAUCAAUAAGUUGGUUACAUCAGGAUUAUGGGGUGAAAUGGAUCCAUCGUGGGUGGUUGAAAUAGAUUAGCAGCGUGCGAAUCACGAGCUAUUAAAUAGAAGAACGUUUAUCUUAACAAAAGCUUAAGCUUUCGGAGAAAUACUAUUUGUUUCACAUUAUUUAACGCUAAGCCCGUCCCAAUUUCGAACUUUUUCAAAGCACAUGGGGAGCAAUUAGAUAGACACUCUUAAGUUAGAGAUUUGAAAUUUUGAUCAACGGGUGAAAGCAUCAAGCUCCAUCUAGUUACACCUUUCCGAGGUGCACUUUUCUGGUUGAUCUUGUAGACGACCUUUUCUUAGCUGCUGCUUUUUUUUUUUUAGAAAAAAAAAACUUUUUUUUUAACCCUUUAUUUUUGUAUGGCUAACUAGAUGAAAUUUUACUCUCAAUUUUGAUGGCCACAAAAAAGAUUAACAUUCCAUUAUAACUUAUAAGGUCAGGAGAUAUUUGGCAUUGGUGAUUUUGAUUGCUGCAUCGGUUUUGUGGUCCACAAUAAAUUGAUUCUGACACGUUCCAAUCUUACCCCAAUGAGUUUUAGAGGCUGGAAUGAGAAUAAUAUCCUAUUAUAGAUUUUCGUUUUGUCCACAGUUCGAUUUUAAUGGAUAUUCAUUUUUUAAAAAAAAUAAACCGUUAAAGAGCAAACAUUAAAUAGAAUAAUAUUAGUAAUGCUCAGAAUCUUCUACUUUGAUAUCACGUAAGAUUAAUAUGAUACAAUCGAUUAUCUUCGAAAAUUUAAGCUUUCGUAAGCCCCAUCCUAAUUUUGAACUUUGUCAAAGCACAUGGAUAGCAAUUGGAUAGAAACUUAUACAUUAGAGAUUGGAAAUUUUGAUUAAGCGGGUGGAAGCAUCAAUCUCUCUUUAGUUACACCUUUCCUAAUGCACUCUUCUUCUGCUUUGGUCUUGUAGCUAACCUUUCUUUUGUUGCUUUUUUUUUCUGUUCUUUUUUUAGAAAAAAAACCUUUUUUUUGUCCCUUUACUUUACUUUUGUAUGGCCAAUUAGAUCAAUUUUUGCUCCUUUUUUUGAGGACCACAAAAGCUUAACCUUCCAUUAUUAGGUCGGAGAUUUUCGUAAUUGGUAAUUUGAUUGCUGCAUCAGUAUCGUGGUCCACAUUAGAUUGAUUCUGACGGGUUAUAAUCUUUCCCCAAUGAGUUUUGCUUCAUCACAUUAUUUAUAACCAAUCAAAUAUAUAUUAUUUUUAAGAGAAUAACAUAAUAAAAAUAAUAAGUAAUAUCACUAUUAUAUUCUAGACUUUUUCGAGUUUUAGAGGCUAAAAUGAGAAUAGUAUUAGGAUGCUAUGAGAUUUUUGUUUCGUCCACGGAUCGGUUUUGAUGGAUAUAUUUUGGUAACUACGGCGACACUUCUGAAGACCUAAAAUAUGAGUUAUCGUUUUCGCGUUAGAUGUAGACUGAUUCAAGCAAACCAAAGAAAACCCACACAAGAAAAAAAAAAUUGAAGUUGAAAUUCUCAAAUUGACAAUUUCAAUUUCGUGUCGAGAAAUUGAUUCUAUAAAUGUUUAUUCUUUUUUAUUAAUGAAAAAUAACUUUUUUAGUGGCGAAAAGGAUGACCUUGCUCAAGAACUUCCCCGCUUGGGGCUUACCAAGAGUUUUUCUAUUUACUCUCAAUUUUGGUUUGAAUAUUUAUUCGAUAAACAUCUCAAAGCCGAAAGUACAAAUAUCAAAUUUAAGCGCACACGAAGAGUCAAACUCCUGAUUAUAAUGCCGAUAUCAUUUCGUCUAGAGCCACAACAGCACAACUAUUAUUACUGAUCGUUUCUAGUGCAAGUGAUAAAAGACUCGACAGUUGAUAUUUAAAAUUAUAAUUACUUUAUAUUUUUAAUUAAAUAUAUGUUUUAAAAAAAUAAAUAAAAUAAAAAAUAUAUCAAAAAAAAAAAAAACACACACACACACACACACCCACACACGCACCUGAUGCGGAUUGUCACAUGGGUUUUUUAAAAUCAUGAUUAUAUUAUAUUAUAUAUAUGAUUGGCUGUGAGAAUAAAACAAAAGCAAAAACGCUUUGGGGUGGAUUACAAAGGUUUUUCUCACAAUAAUUACUAAAAGUUAUUAAAAUAAAUAAAUAUAUAUAAAUAAAUAAAAGCUCCGGAUGCAUGUGGGAGGGCCAUGUAGGCGAACAUAAAAUCUUAAUAUUAAUAAAUAAAUAAACUAUAGGCCCAAAGUCGUAGUCUUAUAUCUACGUUUGUAUUAAUUAAUGGAGCUAGUGCUACUUCUCAAAAAUUUUCCAUAGUCACAUAUUCACGUGAGAAUAUGCUGCAAAUAAUUAAUUAAUUAAUUAAUAGUCAAUAAUUUUACACUCCACACCCUUUCACGAACUUUGCCUAUUCGUUUGAACAGCUCUAUAUAUCACCUCUCGCCGCAUUAUUUCUCCUGCAAUAUUAUAUGUAAUGCAUAUAGUUAUAUAAUUUCGUAUCUUGAUUUGAUAUAUAAAACAAUGGCCGUGUGAUGCAUUAGUUAAGCUAAUGAAGAAAAUUAAUUAAUUAAAUUGACAGGUAGAAUUAAAGGUGUGGAUCAGAUCAAAUAAAUUAAGGCCUUUUCCAACUAAAUAGGAGAUCGACCUGCAUGUGAUGGUUCACUUAUAUUUAAGUUUCAGAUAUUUUAUGUAUUUUAAAUAUCUUAGUUUUAGUUAUAUAUCCAGCAAGUUUCUUUCUUUUAUUAACCCAUUGACCUAAACCAUCAAACUAUUUUUUUUUAAAUAUUUUAAAAUUAAGUUGCCUAAAAAAAUUUUAAAAUUAAGAAGAUAGAUAUUUUUCUCAAUUAAUUUUAUUUACUCUAUAAAGUAAAAUUAAUGGGAAGUGCCCUCUUGUCCUUAAUCCCUACUCAAUUUUUAUCUAUCUAAUAAAUGCAUCUAUAACUACUCUUUAAUAACUGUUUUAAUCUACCUAUUAAUAAUACAGCUAAUUAAACCCAGGAAAUUCGAACAAAGAAACAGUUAUACCUGGUCAAUUCAGUUUGCAUUACUCUUUUAUCUUCUUCUUUUUUCUUUUUCUUUUUUUUGCAACACAGUUAUGUUUAUUUUAAUUCUUUCAUGUUUUAUUAUUAGUUAAUUAUAUAUGGUUAUUAUGCAAUUUCAUGUAUCAAAAAAGAUGCACAUGUAUAACGCUCUAAUAUGCAGUGACGUUGUUGUUCUAAAUUCAAUGAAAAGGAUCCGUGUACGUGACGUUGUCAAAUAUGUACUCACAUGGAAUAAUUGCAUCGGAUAAAUAAAAUAUUAUUGCACACUUAUUAGUUGGGAUAUUUUUAGAAGGAAUUGCUUCGUAGGGAGAAUAUAACUCGGAAUUAAUUGCACUAAUUAAAGAUUAAAUUUAGAGUUUCUGUUUUAAGCCUUAUAAUUUUUGCCUCUUUUUUUUUCUGGUAUAUAUUGAAGUUCUAGAUUUUGAUUGUGGAGAAACAACGUCUAAUAAACACUAUAAAUAAAUAACGUCCUUUUCUAUUUAAUUCAAUUUAAAGUUUAUCAAGUGGAAAAUGACAUCAUUUGCUACAUCUUUAUCCAUUAAGAGUUGGACCACAAAAACGUCCGUUGUUGAGUGCAUACUACAAUCCAAAGCACUAGUCUAAUUUGAAUCAAGGAAAUAUUUUUCGCUUUUAUAUAUAUAUAUAUAUAUAUAUAUAUAUAUGUGUGUGUGUGUGUGUGUGUGUGUGUGUGUGUGAGAGAGUUGAGCUCCUAUGCUUUUAAAAGUACGAACUUAUUGAUACUUGUAAAUUUUUUAUCAUUAGAUUAAAGAAUGUGUGAUUAGUAUGAUGUGUGCUCCCUAGAGUUGAAUGGGUGGUUGGUUGAAUAGUAUAAUCUAAUGAUUAAAAAUGAUAAAAAAUGUAGAUCUAAUGGUAUAUAUAUAUANCGUAAGUUAUUUUUUAUGAUGGAAUUUCUGAAUUGAUGAUUUAUAGCGUUAAAUAUAAUUUAGUGUAUUGAAACUUUUAGAAAAUAAAUUUCGUAGUUUUUUAAAAUUAUAUUAAAAUUCAUCGAGCGGGUAUAAGAUAAACAGUCAAAAUUGACGACCACUUAAAAAUAGAGGAUCGAAUACUUUACAUUAAGAUCAAAGUUAUUGAUCUUUAUUUAGAUAGUGAAUAUAAUUUUUAUCAAAAAUUCAAUUAAUUUCUAUUCUUUUAUACCGUUAAAUUAGCAAAUAUGAGAUAUCAGGUGUUAAAAAUUGUCAAUUUUAAGAACUUUUGAUCGUAAGGUAAAUAAUUAAUCAAAAAAUUAUGAUUAAAAGUUUUAAAUGCUUUGAGUGUCGUUGUUUUGAAAAUUCUAUCAUCGAAAACGACUUAUGAGUACAAAGAUGAUUGUACUUUAAGAGUAUAGAAAUUGGACUUUCUCACUCUCUCUCUCUCUCUCUCUCUCUAUAUAUAUAUAUAUAUGAUUAAGUCCACAUCAUUACCAGUAAAAAUGGCAAUUUCAUUAAUGAGUCAAGCAACUCAUUUGCUAUAAAAAGCAAAAUUUGUGGAACUAAAAAGUUAAAAAUUCCUUUCGAAAAAAUUGGAAAGAGAAAUGCUACAUCUAUAACCCAGAAAGAAAUGUAGAAUUAUAAUUUUUUUAUUCAAGGAUUGAAAUCUUAUCUUUUAAAUCUGUACAUUUUCUUUGUCUUCAAAUAUUGGGAAAAAAGUGAUAAAAUUUCAAGACCGGAAGAAUCGUCAGUCAUACUCUAUCAAUAAAGAUGCACGAAAAAAUAGAAAAAACAGAACGAUAAAAGAAAUAAAUGCAAAAAUAAGAAACCAAAAUUUACAUGAUUCGGCAAUUGUCUACGUCCACAAGAAAAGCGGAAGAGAUGUAUUCCACUAUACGAAAAAAUAAAAUAUAAAUUUAUAUCUAAUAUCUUCUUCAGAUGAAAAAUCAAGAGCCGAUUAAUCUCUUCUUUCUCUUGUUUCAAUAAAAACUUCAAAAAUAAUAAUAAAAAAAUCAUAAAUCCAAGAAUACCAAAUAAGAGAAUAUAGAAAACUCUGAUCAAAUCCGUUAUGUUGUUGCUUCGAUGAAUCUAAACGGGUGUUGUGAAUUAAUUAGCCUGAUGAUGCAAAUUAAUUUUCUCACACACGAACGCCGAUCAAUACGGUCCACACGCAUGCAUAUACAUAUAUAAUAGGGGCAAUUGUUUAUAUACCUCUGAAAAGUUUCCGAAUUUUUGAUUUACCCCUCUCAGAAGGCUAAUAUUGAAAAUAUCUUCUUUAUGUUCCAACCUAUUUCUAAUAUACCCCUAGAGUUAAAAUCUGUUAAUUAACUCCGUUAACUCUGUAAAAUUACUAUUUUGUCCUUUCAAAUAUAUCCUUCCACCAUUACUAAUUUUCUUAUUGCCCUUAAAGUCAGUGGCACAAAAGGUAUUUUGACUUUUGGUCUUUUCCAAUAUACCUUUCUACCGUCACCAACAUUUAUUAUUUGCUCUUAAAUUAAGGAAAAAAUUGACAUUUUAAAUUUUUUUAACUGUAGUAGAUGUUUAACUUACGUUUAAUCCAAAUUAAUUUAAUAAGAAAUAACUGCGGGGGUAUUUUAUAAUAACGGUAGAACAUACGAUGAAUAUUUUAGAAAGAAAAAAAAGUAAAAGUAAAUUAGAUAGUUUCAAAUGUACGAACGGUAUAUAGGCAAUUAUCCCUAUAUAAUAUUCACAUACAUGUAUAAGUGAAUUCUAAUCCUUAUCCUACUCCACCUCCGAGUCAACUUGACUUAGGAGCACUUCAUAGAAAACCGGGCCAGCUCCAAUUUGACGUCCAACACAAAUUGAAAUCUGCCAAUGAGAAUUCACAUUAAGCCUCUAAUUAUUUUUUUAUAUAUGAAUUCGGUGCAUAAACCAAGCUAAUAAUAAUAAAAAAAGACAUAUCUUUAACAUAAUGUGAAAUUAAAAUCAUUUUGGAUACAUUUUACUUCGGUUGCUUUUAAUAAUUUUUAAUAAUUACAAAAUAAUUUUAUUUCUAUGUGAUAAAAUAAAAAGGAGUUCGAACUUCUAAUGAGAUUAAAACAUCAUGGUCAUACAUCUUGGUCCAAGCAACUAUUUAUCUAUUUAUUUUCCUAAUGUAAAAAUUAUUUCUAAAAAAAUUGAACUAGAUUUUAAAGUUUUCUAACAAAUCGUGGGAAUAUUUAUCUGUAUUAAUAUUAAUGCAAAAUAACUAAAUGCAGUGAAGCAUCAAUUUAUCCUAUCGCAGAUGGCAACAAAUUUGGUGAUGAAUAUCUGAGGUCCUAAAUUUGAACCUAACUAUUUUAUAUUUCAAUUAAAUUUAUAUUAAAAAAAUAAACGAAGUGAAUAAUGCUAUCUUUCUCUUAAAAUAAAAUAUCAAAAUUUCGAUCUAACUUUUUUAUUUUGAACAGGUGAUCAGAAGAGGAACAGAUGAGGGUGGCCUUUUUUAAGAAAAAAAAAAGGAAAAAGAAGAAAUCAUAGCUCAUCGUGGGUCCCACUGGACUUUCGAGCGACAAAUUAUUGCCCAUGCCUCCCUCCACUUCCUAACAAAGCCAAAAUAAUGUACCAACUUUUUUUUUUUUUCUUUUACUUACUGUCCUGGAGUAAGUGGCAAAGAACUUAGUGAUUGAUACCCGAGAUCCAAGUUCGAAUCCUAGUUGAUUCACAUUUCUAGCUAUAUUUAUUUCUAAAUAAAAUAAAUAAAGCAGGUAGCUUGCUUCCUAUCUUUCAAAAAAAUAAAAAACAAAUUUUUUUUCCUUUUUGAAAGGAAAGGAGUAUCUAUCCAGCUUCGUUCAAUUUCUAUUUAAAAUAAACUUAGCUGAAAAUGUGAAUCAACUAAGAUUCGAACUAGGUUUCGAGUACCUACCACCAAAUUCUUCUGCCACUUGCGCUAAAGACGGUCGUUAUAUCACCAAAUAUUAAUUAGUAUAUACUGGUGCUGCAGCAGCAGUUGAAAUAUACAAAAUUUUAUUCUAAACUUUUUUAACUAUUAAGUUAUUAUUCAUAUAGUCUGCUGGAUAAAAUAUUGCUCAAUAAGUAGGAGAUUCUCUCAUGCAUUAUUUUCGCUUAUUAAUCUUUUACAGCAAAAUUUAAUUUUUUUUAAUUAAUUUUUUACUUAGGGUGUGUUUGUUUUACAUGAAAAUUAUAAAAAAAUAGUGGAAAAAUAAUUUGAAAAAAUAAAUUUUAACAUUUUUUUGUUUGAUUUGUAACAAAAAAUAAUAAUAAUUUUUUGUUACGAUUAUUUGGUUGAAAAAAAAGUUAUAAAUAAAAAAAUAUCUGUAUAUAUUUUUUAUUCUUAAUAUAUAUUAUUAUUAUUGAUGUAUAUAAUAUAUUAUUAUAUUAUAUAUAGUAGUAUUAUAGAUUUAUAUUUAAUAAAUAAUUUUAUUUAAAACAUAUUAUUAGAUAAUUAAUAUGUAUCUAUAUAAUAUAUUUACUAGUAUAUAUUUAAUACUAUAAAAUAAAUUCCUAGAUAUUUUUAAAUAAUAUUUAUAAAUAAAAUAUUAUAUAAUAAUAUUUUUAUAUUAAAAAUAAAAAAUUAUUUUUAAUAUAUAUAUAUAUAUAUAUAUAUAUAAAAUAUGACUAAUGUGCUAUUAGGAGUACAGCAGUCUUUGUACUCCUAACUUUCUAACUAUUUAUCAAUUUUGAUGGAUGAUUAAGAUGAAAGAGAAAAAAAAUUUAAGAGAAAUUGAAAGAAAAGAAAAAUUGAGAAAUCCAAUUUCUUCUCAAUUUCUCUUCUCUUUCUUAGCUUAAUUAACUAUCCAUCAAUUUUGAUGGACGGUUAGAAAAUUAAGAGCACAGGGACUACUAUACUUUUAAUAGCAUAAUAGUCCUGCUCCAUAUAAGAAAAAGGGAGAGUGGACCUCUCUCUCGCUGUCCAUGAGAUAGAGUGUAUCUCCUGGACCGCGUGCCGCUGCCCCCUCUCCUCCCAGCGCCGCAUUUUUUCCAAUGGUAGUUUUAGUUUUUCGCGGUAAUGGAGCGAAGAGCGAAAACAUCUUGUUUUCUCUGAAUCUGUAGAAGAAAUUUGAGAACAUUUUUUUUCAGGUAAUCAAACACCGAAAUUCUAUUUUUGAACCGAAAAAAAAAAGAAGAGUUUUCAGUAUAGUUUUAAGUGGAACGAAAUAAUGUCUUUUUGAGUAAUUGUAAAUUUUUAUAUUGUUUGUAUUAGAAGUUAAAAAAAUUGAGUUGGCAGUUCGAUCACGUAGCUACUGGUGCUGUGGCUCAUCAUUAGUAUCGAUACGAUUAUAUAGGUACGGCCAUAAUCAAUAAAUGACAUUUUCUAAUGGGAAAACAACGAAACGAAAUGCCCCUCCACUUGCUCUUAUUUUCAACAUUGCCCCCCAUCACCGUACCCUCCUGACCCAAGAGAGCUUCACCAUAAAUUAGGGUGUAGUUAAGGUACAGAGAAUCUGGGAGUGUAACGCAGAGAACUCUCUCUCUCUCUCUCUCUCUCUCUCUCUCUCUCUCUCUCUCUCUCUUUAUUAUCCAUUCAUUUUGGGUGAGGAAACUCUCGCAGAGAACAAAAUCUGGGGAGUUUGUGAGGAGGCAUUAAAGGCUAUGGCGGCGGCUAGAAGAGCGGCUUCUUCUCUCCUCUUUCGUUGUCUCUACGCAUCUCCACGCUUCCAUGGAGGUGAUCUUUUUUCUUUUCCUUUUUUUGCAGAUUUUUUUUAAAAAAAAAAUUCCUGUAUGUAUCCUCGUUUUGCCUUGGUUUAGUUUUUGUACCCUUUUUUUUUUUUGUUACUUGUUUGUUGACUUAUUUCGGUUAAUUUGGUGGGUUUUUUAUCACCUUGGAGAGGUCACCUAUGCUGCUGCUUUUUUUUUAGUUUUUUUUUUUUCUCUUUUUUUGGCUGCUUUNAUGAAAAAUUAUUUAGAUUUUCGGGAGCCUAGACUGGAGGGUGUAAGACUUACAUUUUGUUUUUGGAAUGUACUAGUAAAAUUUCACCCUAUCCAAAAAAAAAAAAAAAAAAAAAACGUUUUUUUUACUGCUUUUUCUGUAUUUUUAUUGAUAUUUUUGUGGGGGUUUUUUUGGUAGAUGUAGGAGCUUUUCCGUUUUAAUUCUUCAACGAUCUAUGCUCUUUUGUAUUUUUUUAUAAAGUUUUCUUUUUUGUUGUUGUGAAGUAGUUUACUAGUUUGAGAAAAAUAUGGAUCAUUUAUUUGCUCUUUUUUUUAUUUUUUUUUUCGCUUGAUUUUGUGGUAGAGAAAUUUCCCAAUAAAUUGGUAUCAUCUAUUGUUGGUUCUUAUGGGCAAUUGUGGGUGUCAAUUUCCCUGUAUCAGUUCGAUUCGGAUCAUCACUAUUAUGUUCUGUUUAAUUCACUAUAUAUUCCAUAUACAAAACCAUCAGGUGGUGCUUUGGAUCUGUUUGUUCUUCAAUUUGUGAAUUAAUAGACAAAAACAGUGACCAUUUCAUUUAUUUAUUUAUUUUUGCACUAAUGUAAGUGCCUUUUUACCACUGUGCUCAAUUCGCGAAAAUUUUGCUGAGUGCAUUUCGAUAAAUUUCGUCUUCAGGUAGAGCAAAUGCCCUGUCUUCGGGGAUUCUCCAAAGGUUUAGCACCGCAGCCGCAACCGAAGAACCGAUCACACCGCCUGUUCAAGUCAAUUACACCCAACUCCUGAUUAAUGGACAAUUUGUGGACUCGGCAUCUGGUAUAUAUAUGUGUAUUUUUAACUUAAUCACUGAAUUUUAAUCUUACUUGUGGGACUAUUUGUACUAGAUUCUUAUAGCUUGAUCUUGUAGUGUGCCGUGUACAUUGCUUCUUCUUGCACUCAUGCGAAAGUGUUGUUUACUUAGAGCUGUUUGAAGAAGCACUUAUAGCUCUCUCAUGAAGAUCUUCCCUACAGCUCCUGCUGUGGAGGAGACUGGGACUAUUGCUUUCGGGGUGCAAAAGUUUAUUUUUGCUUCUUGCCACAAGCAAAAUGCCUGGUCUUUCGAGAUUAGAGAAGCUAUUUCGAAAGCAAUGCCGAACAAACAAUGUGAUCAGAGAUAGUUGUUAAGAUUACCCCCUUUUCUACCAGGUAGAACAUUCCCAACCUUGGACCCUCGCACUGGGGAGGUCAUUGCCCAUGUUGCCGAGGGAGAUGUCGAAGAUAUCAAUCGUGCCGUCGUUGCCGCUCGCAAGGCAUUUGAUGAAGGGCCUUGGCCAAAGAUGACAGCUUAUGUAUAUUCCUACGAUCUUGUGUAUUUCUAUUUUUCGUAUUAGUUACGGCCACAAUCUCUUGAAUCUUUUGUAAACUAGCUAUCCCUCAAAUCUUCCAGGAAAGAUCCCGCAUUCUCUACAAGUUUGCGGAUUUGAUUGAGAAACACAACGAUGAGCUUGCUGCUCUUGAGACUUGGGAUAAUGGGAAGCCAUAUGAACAGGCUGCAUUAGCUGAAGUUCCAAUGUUAGCCCGUCUGAUGCGCUACUAUGCUGGUAAUGCUUAUGAAUGCCUUCAUUUUUUCUUGGUAAUGAAAGAGUAUCGCCUUUUGAUCCGUCUUUCUCAGCUGAGUAGAUUAACUUAAGAAUCUUUUCUUUCAAAAUUUUCCAGGUUGGGCGGAUAAGAUACAUGGCCUCAUUGUGCCGGCCGACGGCCCGCAUCAUGUGCAAGUCUUGCAUGAGCCAAUCGGUGUUGCGGGUCAAAUCAUCCCAUGGAACUUCCCGCUUCUUAUGUAUGCUUGGAAAGUUGGGCCGGCACUGGCUUGCGGAAACACCAUUGUACUUAAGACGGCUGAACAAACUCCUUUAUCGGCUUUAUACGUGUCAAAGCUGUUGCAUGAGGUGGGUGCAGAGUAUAUCCAUGUUCGACUGUGUCUUAGUUACGGGAUAAGUAGAUAUCUUAGAUUUUUUGUUCUUGUAUUUUCCUCUAAUUAUUUCUUAUGGUCUUUCAUAGUUUUUCGGCUUGUAAAGCCUACUGAAAAUGACUUGACCAACGACUUUUUUCAAUCUUUGGGGCCCAUAAAGAUGGCUCAGUUUAUCUGCCUGAACUAGAGAUGUUCAUACAUCAACUACCAUUUAUUGCUCUCUUCUUCUUCUUCUUUUUUCUAUUCCGCAUAAAUUUGAUGCACAGUAACAAUGAGUUCUAAGAAAUGCAUAUUUUACUGGUUUUUGGUAAUUAUGAAAAAAGCAUUUGAGAUUUCUAACAUUUGGUGCCUUCCGUACUUAUGAUCUACUUCCCGUUGCCCGCAUAGAUUGAAGUCUUUUACUGUUCUAAUCUCUGCAAUAUAUUAACAGGGAUGUGAACUCAGUAAUGUUUUAUAUUUAACAGUUAUAUAAGCUGUGUUAGACCAUGAUUUUUCCAAUUAAUGCCAAAGCCACCCAAUUUCUUUUGGCUAUUUCUACCGUUCUGAAUAGAAAAAGGAAAAAUGAAGUGUCGAGUUCUUAAACACCUGUAAAUUGGUAAAAAAUGAAUUCUAUUCUUUUAUUUUGAGUGAAAAGAACAGUUCUCUUUUAGUCGAUUAGCGCAAAGCAGAUUCAAUAUCCUGUUCCUUCUAUUCAAUGGAUUCUGGUAACUAUUUCUGAUGAAUGUUUCAGGCUGGUCUACCCGAUGGUGUUUUGAAUGUGAUCUCUGGUUUUGGUCCCACUGCUGGUGCUGCUCUUGCUAGCCACAUGGAUGUGGACAAGGUAAAUAUGUUCAUAUUUUCAUUUAUUUAUACGCUCCAUGGUGUUUAUAUCUGAAUUUUCUAUGUACUUACUGUUGUGCUCCGCUAAAUUAGUUCAAUUUUCAUGUAAUAACACGAGUCAUUCUAUAUAAAAUUAUGUACCUUUCCUCAGCUUGCUUUUACUGGAUCGACCAAUACCGGUAAGAUCGUUCUUGAAUUGGCUGCAAGAAGCAAUCUUAAGCCAGUGACUCUUGAGCUCGGAGGGAAGUCUCCUUUCAUCGUAAUGGACGAUGCUGAUGUCGACCAGGCCGUAGAGCUCGCUCAUUUUGCACUAUUCUUUAAUCAGGUAAUUUUCACCAAUUACAGUGAAAGGGAAUUGCGCCAGUUUUUAAAUCGAUUAAUGAUGUUUAGAUCGUUACUCCUUUUGCAGGGACAAUGCUGCUGUGCUGGGUCUCGCACAUUUGUACAUGAAAAAGUGUAUGACGAGUUUGUAGAGAAAGCGAAAGCGCGUGCUUUGAAGCGUGUUGUCGGCGAUCCUUUCAAGAAAGGAGUUGAACAAGGCCCUCAGGUAACUACAGCACGAAAAAUGGCAUGAAUUGUAUUCACAGAAAUAAAGGCAAUUUCGUAAAGAGAAGAUCAGCAUGACCAGUUUAGAUGAUAUGUCAUUGAAUUUUGUUCUUUUUCAGAUUGAUGAUGAGCAGUUCUCCAAAGUUCUGCGCUACAUAAAGUCGGGCAUCGACUCGGGGGCUACCCUUGUAGCUGGCGGAGAUAGAUUCGGCAGCAAAGGAUAUUACAUCCAGCCGACCAUAUUCUCGGAUGUGCAGGUAACAAGUUAGCUCCCCUGACAACUGCUCCACAAAGUGAAGUUCUAGGUGUGUUUUACUCAUUUGUUUUUUUCCUCGAUUUUUCUAGGAUGAAAUGACCAUAGCUCAAGAGGAGAUAUUCGGCCCAGUUCAAUCUAUCCUCAAGUUCAAGUGAGUAUUGUUUAGUAUAUAAAAAUUGAAAACAACGUUCUCUUAUAGCUGAAGCUUAAGAUUUUAGAGCAUCAUUUACUAUUUAAUUGAGAAAAACAAUCUAAACUCCUAUAAAACUUAAAAUACUUUUCCUAUGGAUGAUCACAGGGAUAUUAACGAAGUCAUCAAGAGGGCAAAUGCCAGCAGGUACGGGUUGGCGGCCGGGGUCUUCACCAACAACCUCGACACCGCCAACACGCUGGCUCGUGCUCUGAGAGUCGGGUCCUUGUGGAUCAACUGCUUCGACGUCUUCGAUGCGGCGAUCCCCUUCGGCGGCUACAAGAUGAGCGGGCAGGGCAGGGAGAAGGGCAUCGACAGCCUGAAGAACUACUUGCAGGUCAAGGCAGUCAUUACGCCGUUGAAAAACCCGGCCUGGCUGUAAUUAUCAUGCCAAUGAGUCGCUGCUGCGAUGUUUAUUUUGAAAAUAUGAAUGUUUGCCGGUUGUAAUAAUAAGCAUUAUUAAUUAUUGCAUGGAAUUGAGAUGAGAUCUCUGUGAUAAUGCAGCUCCUGUUUCUCUGCUAGUUUAGUAUUAUGGAACUGCACCUUCUGAGUUUCCCCAAAUUUCAGUGUUAUCAAUGUGAAAUUUUUCAUCAUUUUCUGAAAGUGAGGGGCAAAAUUUUAUAAAAUGCUUGAGGAUGAGAUCUGAAGGAUAAUUUUUUUUUAUUUUUUUAUUUUGCACCUAGAUUAUUUCCUAUGUGCAAAAUUUGAAUGUGGCGAAAAACUGUGUGAUCUGGUAACGUUCAUGGCGCAAGGUGGUAUGAUUUUUAAUUGAGAUCAAAGUGCAUUUGCUAAUUUGUUGGCCUCUCUCUCUCUCGCCCCCGUCUCUCUAAUAUUCAAUUAGGCCUUUUCGGCCCAGUAGACUCAAAACUUAAUUGGGCCUGUCCACGUAACCAACACUUACUGGGUUUGUUGGGCCCCUUGGACUAGAAAAAAUGUGAAAUGGAGCAUUUUUUUGUCCCCUUCCAUACUGAUUCAUCUACUAAGUCCUCGUUGGGAUAUUCUUUUUUGAUUUUUAUUUUGUUUCCAUAUUCGUGGUUCAUAGCGAUUCCACGAGAAUUUUGAGAGAAAGAUAGCAUGCAAUCCGUUUCGUUUAUUUUUUUUUUAAAAAUAAACUUAGCAGAAAAUACAAAGCAAUUAGAUUUCUUGGAAUAACUGAGUACCAACUAUCAUGUUCUUUUCCAUUUGCACUACGGACAGUCGGGGUUGCUCAAUAAGAUUUUAAAUCAGCUCAGUGGUUGUUUCCAGAGCUCGAUGCCAUGUCAUAAGGCAUUUCUUGGUCACUUUCUGGUAAUCAACCAAAGUUGGAAUAAAAUAAACGCCUUAAGAUUUCCAAUUCCAAGCAAACUUGCUUACCCCAGUCAAAUUCAGCCACGAAAUGAUCAAUCACUUAAACGCGGAUUUCCUCCUCUACUGAUCCCAGAUUUGAUUAUUCGUGCUAUCUCAAUCACGUACAGGAAACCCAUUAAUGAAGAUAAUGACUCGCUUCAGAGAAAAGGAUAAAUGAUAAAUUUGAUCUGUUUCUCGAAAGUUGAAGUUCUAUAUAAUCGAGCAAAAUGCUAGUAGAAAACUUUUUAGUGAAAAGAAUUAUAAAUAUAUAUAUAUUUUUUUAAUGUCGUCGUUACUAAAUGACUUGUGUUCUAAUUAAUAAUGCGUGGAAACUCGACUAUAAAUAAGGUCACAAAUUGGAAUCAAAUGUGCAAAACGUAAAAUUUUGAGCUUUAUUUGAAAAAUUUUAUAGUUGAACUAAAUGGACCAAACAAGUCCCGAUCUUUGUGGUACCCAGCCCACACGUGUCACAUCGGGGUCCCACACGUAAUCAUCCUACGUGGCCACGCGUGUACACCUGGCUCCGCUUGGACGCUUUGGCGUGCAGCUAAGUCACCUCUGCGACUGCCACGUGCCGUUCAAUUUUCGCACCAGGGAGGGGAUUAUCCUACGUUGAUCUCCGCCGUGUGGGGCCCCCAACUCCGCCACCCCCACACCCACGUCCACGUCCACGUCGCUGAUACUCGGCACGUGUCCCGUUCCCUACCCCUACGUUUCGUGCAUCCUCGCCGUUGGAUUCUUAAUCAUCUCUCGUGCUUGCCACUUAACGGCGACCCCGCCGAUAAUCACCGCACAGGAGACACCCUUCACACCAAAGGCACAGCCCGACGCGAUUGCUGACGCACACGUGUCGACUAUUUACUCGUCUUGUAAAUACUACGCUGUUGGCUCCGUAACAGCUGAUGAGAUAUUUAUGUCGGCCAAGGAACUCAACGGAGACUUCUCCCCGCGACCGAGGGGGUUCACGGGGAACGGUAAGUCCUUAGUAGGGCCGGUUAACUGCCACGUGUCCCCACUUUUCGCGCCCAGUCGCUCCGCCCGGAUCGUACGAUCCAUAUCCAGAGGAAGCUACGCCGCCCCAUUCAUCUCCUUCCACGUGUCCCUCCCACACGCGUCAAAUGAUUGGACCAAUGUUUCAGAGCUCGUAAAACCCACGUACGCAACCCCGCCUAUAAAAUCGCACAAGCGAAGUACGCUUCGAACUUCGUUCUCAUUUUAUUCUGUUUUUUUUAUUUCUUUCAAAAAAAUCUUUCUACUGCUGCUGCGGCUGCUGCUGCAUUCUUAUUCUUUUUCUAUGACGCAUUUAUCGGCACGCCGGAUUCUUGAUCUUCCGGCGAUCGGCCCCUGCGACUCGAUCUCGCUGCCCACGCUUCUCCGCGCACUAAUCCGUGUAUCCGGAGCGAUCAUCGCCCGCCGAUCGGACGCAUUUCCAAUCCACCGCCGCAUAAUUCUCGAGACAAUUCGCGAGGUCGGCGUGCUUCAGGAGUUCUUCGAGGAUGUGGCGGAGCGCGGAACCGCACUUCCGGCUUCCGCCACGGUGGGCUUAUCGGAGCUUUACAUCGCGCUCCACAAGAUCCAAAACCUCAUCUCCGACUGCGCCCGGCGGGGGGCGCGCCUGUGGAUACUUGCGCGGUCCGACCGGGUCUCGUCGGAGUUCCGGCUGCUGAUCAGGUCCAUUUCGGUAGCUCUCGACGUGCUUCCCUUAGACGCCAUCGACGCGGCUCCGGAGAUGAAGGAGCUAAUCUUUCUUUUAUCGGCGCAAGCGCGCAAAGUCGGCGUCGAAGUCGAUCCUGCGGACGACUCCGCAGCUCGGACAGUUCGGUUCGUGCUGGACCAGUUUAAAAGUGGGGCCGCGCCCGACCCGGCCGAUCUGAGCCGGGUGCUGAAGCGAUUGGACGUAAGCACAUGGUCGGAGUGCGACGAGGAGGUGUCGUUCUUAGAAGAGGAGAUGUUCUCAUGCUUACAAGAGGAAAGCAAUGAAGUUGCUAUUUUCGGUACGUUGAUGUCGUUCAUGGUCUAUUGCCGCGUAGUUCUCUUUAUUACCAUCGACGGUGAAGGAGUUGGCCGUGACGAACGUGCGCGCCGAGCGUUCGAUACCAGUUCGCUUAAUCCACAAACACUGGUAUGCCCAAUUUCUCUUGAGAUCAUGAAAGAUCCUGUAACGAUCUCCACUGGUCACACCUACGAUCGUGUGGCGAUUAAGAAAUGGAUCAAAUCCGGUAGCUGCACGUGCCCGAUAACGGGGGAGAAGCUCACUAAUGUCGACUUCGUCCCGAACUCGUCUCUCCGACGUGUUAUCGAGCAAUUCUAUAGCAACAAGGGCGUCGAAAUCUCCGAGUCAAACACGAAGCAUACCUGGAAUAUAGAAAAGACCGCCACGCCGUUUAGUUCGGCUGCGGCCGGAGCGACUAAAAUGGCGGUGGCUUUUCUUAUCGAGAAGCUUGCAAAAGGAGGUGAAGAGGAGGAGAAGAGAAAGGCGGUUUACGAGAUUCGGAAGCUAUCUAAGUUCAAUCUAUUCAACAGAGCUUGUUUGGUCGAAGCCGAUGCGGUUCCGUGGCUUCUUUACCUUCUCUCCUCCUCCUCCUCCUCCGAUGCUUCGACCCAACUCAAUAUCGUUUCCGCAUUGUUGAAUCUUUCGAAGCACCCUAAUGGUCGAAAGGCGGUCUUCGAGGCCGGUGGUGUCGAUCUUAUAAUAGAUAUUAUGCGGGUCGGGCUAAAAGUCGAGGCGCAGAAUAAUGCGGCGGCGAUUCUUUUCUAUCUUUCUUCGGCCGACGAGUAUCGGAAAGAGAUAGGAGAGAUUAGAAGGGCUAUUCCAGCACUGCUGGAGCUGCUACAAGAAGGCUCUUACCGCGGUAAGAAGAAUGCCAUCACUUGUCUCUUUGGAUUACUCCAAUAUCCGGGAAAUCAUCGUAAGAUCGUAGCGGCCGGAGCUAUUCCCGUUCUUACAAAUCUCCUUUCGAGCGAUCACGUUGAUCUUGCGAAUGAUUCCGUCCAAGUCCUCGAAAAGAUUGCCGAGAGGGAUGAAGGAACGGAUGCUAUCAUCGGGUCUGCGGGCAUUGCUAAGAUUGCGGAGAUCCUAAGCUCGACGAGCUCUCGGUCGGGGAAGGAGCAUUGUGUAUCGCUUCUGCUGCAUUUGUGCAGCAACGGCGGAGACAAGGUUGUUAGUGUUAUCGAGAAGAUACCGCCGCUCAUAUCGUCAUUGUAUUCGAUCGUAACGGAGGGAUCCCCUCAGGCCGGCAGGAAGGCCAGGUUGAUUCUCAACCGCAUCCACCGCCGGUCCACGAUUUCGUGAUUCAUACACGGGUCACGUACAGUAGCACGAGUUCGCAGCUCAUCGCGCGAUUUAGUAAUAUUUCAUCGAUUUGUUUUAGAUGAUUAGAGGAUGGAAGCAUUCUUUUGUUCCUUUGAUUUUUUUUUCUUCGUUAAUGUCGUUGUUAUGAUCUCAGAUCGGUUUUUUAUGAGAUCUAGGGAUCAUGGAUUCAUAUGCAUGUAUGUGUAUGUAGAAUUGUGUGCAUAUUGCUAUUCAUUUAUAUGUUGUUUUGAUGCACUGAUGUACAUAAGAUUAGUCUUAUAGAAAGUUUAUUUUUUCUUUUUAUUUUUUCCGGAGAACUCAAGCUUUAGUUAGCUUCAGUGUACUAUCAUUAUUGAUGUUAUACUCUCUCUAUAAAUAUGCAUUACUAGUUAUGAAACAGUAACAACUGAUUCAAUCUAAAGGGACCGCCAACCGACUAGUCUACUAUAUGCCUAAACUACUCCACGUAUCACCCACAGAGUUGGCCGAUCUAAAUAGAAUGUCCCAAAGGACUACUGCGAUAAAAAUGCUAAAAUGGCUCACUCUGAAGCGACACUCGGAGGAGCAACCCAGCUGAGUAAAAAAACGUACUUUGACCGUCUCGCUCUUCUACCACUUGUUGAAGAAAGUGGCCACGUGAAAGAAAGAGGAGCACUCGAGCUCAAUCAAAUUCACGUAGACUAUAGUCAAUACUAAUACUCAAGCCGGUCAAAGAACCAAACCUUAUGUAAAAACAAAAUUCUAAAAUGCAACGGGUAUAUUGGUGACGUGGCGUAACAAAUCAAUCAAAUGUCUCCAUUUAAGAAUAUAUGUUCCAUCAUGAUUGUAAAAAAAAUAUUUUUAUUGUACUUUUGUUUAAAAAGUAUGAAUGUUAUUGGCUUAUUAUUUGAUGACGUGGUGCAAGUGUGAUAGUGUCUUCUACGCCAGAAGUGUACACGUCAUCAAAUAAUAGGCCAAACACUCACGGGAAACGUGCCUUUCAAGCCUGUGAGUGUUUGGCCUAGAGGCCAAUUUUGCAUAAUAUUUAUUAUGCAAUAUUUUAUUAUUUGAUCAACAUUGUUAUUCCCUUUUUUUUAUCACAUGGCCCGUAGGCCGUGACCCCUAGGCCCAACCCAUCCCAACUCACAUAUGGACUUAGCCAAUGGAAUACCCACUAGAAUAGUGCGUUUAUUAAAGCACCAUAGAUCUUUCAAGCAAAAUCGAUGUUACUGAAUUAAUACUUUUACUUGAUUUUAAGACUCACUAUUUAAUAUAUAUUUAUUAUUUUUAAAAAUCGAACUAAAAGAAAGGCCACCUACCCUAUUAUAUGGUUGAGCGAGGAGGGAAAAGGCUUCUUCUAGAAUGUUUUGUGAAACGCAGUAAUGGGUUUCCAAUUACUAACCAUAAAUGUAUUAUGUAACUACUCUUUUGAAUAACAAUUUAAUUAGUUAAAAGAAAUUAUUUGGUUGCAUGUAGUUACAAUUGUACUGUACUAAAAAUUUAAUGUUUGAUCUGAUAUGUUUAACUCAAACUGCUGGAGUAGGAACUGUAAUAAGAGGUCUAACUGCAGCAGUUGGAACUACGUCCAAAAUGACUGCAGUUCGGACUGCAGCAAUUGAAAAAAAUAACUUUAAACAAAAAACUAUGCUUACCCCCUUAAAUAUUUUUUAAAUAAAAAAAUAUUUUUUUUCCAUUGGAGAUAAUCUCACUAUCAAAUAUAUAAAAUGAUAAAAUUUAAAAAUUAUUUCGUAACUAUAUAUAACCAAAUAAAUUAUUUAUAGUUUCAAUAUUUUUUACUAUAUCUAAUCAAAUAGAAUGCAUUUAGUUGCAACCGUAUAUAUCUUCAACUAUACUGUAUUUAUAAUUAUAUCAAACCAAAUGUUCCCCAAGUAGCAAAUAUUAACAUCACAUACGAUCAGUGAUAUUUUAACAGUAAUAGAAUCCAAACAAGAACAAUAGAAAGUGAGCCGGUAUGAGCGUAGGAAUCUUUGGAACUUCCAUAAUUCUAUGCAUAAUCUCUUGUUAAUUUCUCUUGAUUAAAUUAAGAAUAAAAAGAGUGGAGUGCGUUUUCAAGCCACCACGUUUUGGUACCGUACCAUUCCUAAAUAAUAAAUGAUCAAGAUGUGUGCUCUAAACCUAAUGCAUUAGUUACAUCACAGAGUGGGGAGUAAUUAAUAUCGCGUUCAAUUUGGAACCAGUAAAAAGUGUUAAGUAGGCCUACUAAUAAUUUAUAUGAAGUUUUUACUAUUAAUUAUUAUUUUGGUUUUAUUUACUUUUAGGUAUGGUUCGGGAAUAAGUUUUUUUUUUUUUUUUGAAAAAUAGGUAGCUUAAAAUCGCUACCCGCUUCAUUCAUUAGGGGAAUGAAUUAGGCUUACAAAAUGGAGGCAGCCAAGGCCUCCGUAAGGAGAGAGAGCGACAGAAGCAAAAAAAACAAAAAACAAUGCAAAGACAUGGGGGAGGGGAAAAUAGAAGCGAGAAACAAAUCACAACCACAAAAAAUUACGGAAAACCGUUCAGCGAGGGGUGGUCCAAGAGGCGAACAGGAGCUUAAUUUGAUCCAAGCACCGGAUAGGAUGGGGGCACUGUCUCGAAAGAUUAUAGCAUUCCUUUCCGUCCAAAUUACCCACUAGAUUGCAGAGAGGAAGGAUAGGGAAGUAUUAUUUCAGACUAUCCCUGAGAUAGAUACAACUUUUGAAAUAAAAUUAAUUUUACGUUUGGAUGAGAAUUGAAUUUUUUUGGAAAUAAGCAAAAUAGCAUUCAGAUGGUUAGAUUGGAAGAGUAGGAAUAAAAAUAAUUAUAUUUUUAAUAUAAUAAUAUUUUAUCUAAUUAAUUAAAUAAUAAUUCAACUUACUUAAUUUACUAAUUAAUCAUUACUAUUGCUAAAUAGCCCUAAAUGUUAAUUAAUAAAUUAAUUAAUCAGGUAUAAUUUAAUAAUUUAAUAAAUUAAUUAGUUAGUUACAGCCAAAUAAUUAAAUUAGUAAAAAUAAUAAUUAAUUAAUCAAUAUAAAUAUUAGUUAUUAAAUAAGUACACUAAUAAAUAAUUAAUUAUUUAAUUAACAUAUUAAUUAAAAUAAUAAAUUAAUUACUCAAAUAGCUAAUUAAAUAUUUAUUAGAGUAAUAAAUUAAGCAGUACAAUUAAUAAUUUCAUAAUAAAAAUAAUAUAUUAUAAUAUAUAACAAUAUUAUGGCUAUAUAAUUUAGUUUUAAUUUAAUUAUAAAAUUUAAAAUUAAACUUUAGAAUAGUACUGUUACGCUAAAAUAAUAGAAUAGUAAAUUUUGAACUAUUCCAAAAUAAUAAAAAAAUAAUAAUAUUUAAUCGGAAUAAAACAUUUCAGCUCAAAAAAUACUCUGUUCGGUGGGAUAGCGGAGAUUUUCGUUAUCACUGUUUUAUCGGUGGUGGCAGAGUGUCGCAUCGCUCGAGCUGUCACUUACCCGGGGAGGCGGGGACUCUUCUUCUCCGAUUAAUUGUUGAUAUGAGCGUUGGCGGAGGAUCAAAUAAUUCAUAGUUCAUAGUUCGUAGUUCGUAGUUCGUAGUUCGUAGUUCGUCGCUCAUAUAUAGUGGGUAGUUUUAAUUAAUUUGCUGCGGAUCGAGAACAAAUUAAUUAAGCCACGAUGAUGAGUUCUUCGGCGCCCUCAUGCGCUUCCGAUGAUGCGCUCCCGAUCCCCCGCGUAGCGAUAUUCCCGUUCGUGUCGAAAGGCCACACCAUCCCCCUCGUCCACCUCGCGCGCCUCCUCCACCGCCGCCGCCUCCUCCUCCUCCUCCUCCUCCUCCUCCACCGCUGCACCACCACGACCUCUUUGCCAUUCCCCCCCACCACCGCGCNCUCCCCAACGUCCCGGCCGCGGCCGGGGGCGUCGAGAGCGCCGACCAAUUCGCCUCCGCGUCCCUCUUCCUCCCCUUCGUCCGCGCCGCGUCCCUCCUCCGCCCCGCCUUCUCCGAAUCCCUCCGCCGCCCCACUCCCCCGUCCCUCCUCGUCGCCGACGCCUUCCUCUUCUGGGCCCACGCCGCCGCCGCCGAGCUCGGCGUCCCCAGCGUCGUCUUCAACGGCAUGGGCGCCUUCGCCUCCGCCGUGAGCCUCGCCGUCACCGUCCACAAGCCCCACGCCGGCGUCGCCUCCCGGCUCGAGCCGUUCCCGGUUCACCCCUUCCCGGGUCUCCGGCUCACGAGGGCCGACCUCGCCCCGCCGUUCGACGACCCGGACCCGAAGGGCCCCCUCUGGGACUUCAUCGUGGAGGUAAGGGCCGCCACGCGGACCUGCCGCGGCACCCUGGUCAACACCUUCUACGAGCUGGAGCCGCUCUACGUGGACCGCUGGACCCGCGACCUCGGGGUCCGGGCCUGGUGCGUCGGACCCCUCUGCCUGGCCCGCGACGCCGGCCCCGGUCCGGACCGGUCCCCCGUGAUGGACUGGCUCGACUCCCGGCUCGCCGCGGGCCGGCCGGUCCUGUACGUGGCGUUCGGGUCCCAGGCGCGGCUGCCGUCUGCCCAGGCGGAGCAGCUCGCGGCCGGGCUGGACCGGUCCGGGCUGGACUUCCUCUGGGCGGUCCGGCCCGGCGAACCCGAGUUGCCGCAGGUCGGGGAGCGGGGGCGGGUGGUCGGGGAGUGGGUGGACCAGGUGCAGAUCCUGGCGCACGGGAGCGUGCGGGGGUUCGUGACGCACUGCGGGUGGAACUCAGUGCUGGAGAGCCUGAGCUGCGGGGUGCCCAUGCUGACGUGGCCGAUGAUGGCGGAGCAGUGCCUCAACGCCAAGUUCGUCGUGGAAGAGCUGCGCGCCGAGCGGCGCCGCAGACGAGACGUCGGUGGCGGCGGAGGACGUCGAGAGGAUGGCGAAGGAGCUGAUUCUGGGGGAGACGGGGAAGCAGGCGGCGGCCAGGGCGGAGGAGCUGAAGGCCAUGGCCAGGCAGGCAAUGGAGAGCGGCAGCGGGUCGUCGUGGACGGCGCUGGCGACAAUGAUUCACGACGUUUGUGGGAGUACUGAGAUCCAGAAAUAAAUUAAGCAAACACUAACAUUAAUGGUUUCUCUUCUUAAUUAGCCAGAUAUAUAUUAAUUCUUACUGCGCCCCUAUAUAGCAGUACGUACGUACUGAUCCUGGUUUUAGUUACCUCGAGUUAUAAUAAACGUCCAAUGAUCAUGUUGUGGAAUCGUAAUUUGUUAUGCUCCCGUUGCUCUUCAUUCAUUGUCCGAAACAUGUACUGGGAUUAGAGUGUUGUUAAUCAAACGCAACACCACUCGUUACCUUAUUACAAAUGUGUUUUCCAAAUAUUUAAUCUUUACCGUUUCUAAAAAGUCCGCUACUUUCGUAUUUGAUCUUCACAGUCAGAGGUUUUGAAAGUCACCGCUUUGUCAAAACUCAAAAGUGGUGGCAUAUCCACGUACGUAAUGAUCGAAAUUACAACUUCUUUGUAAACGUAGUUUCAUGAUCUUCAUGCUUAAUUUUGUGGUAAUCACAAAGUUUAAAAUUAAUGUUUUAAUGAUGUAAAAACUAAUAUGAUAUAAUAUUACUGUUUUUUUAAUUAUAUUAAUAAUUUGUUGCAAUUGCAUCUAAAUAUUAUUAUUUUUUAUUCCCGAAGAGAUGAAAGUGUAGAAGCUCAUAAUCUAUCCAUUGUUUUUUUUUAUCAUUUUUUAUGUACUUGUAAUUUGCUAAUAAAAUUACCUAUGAAUUAUAAUAAAUUAAAUUUUAAAAAGCAAUAGUAACUUUUAGAGGAGUCGUUGUCAUAAAGAGUGGCCACACAUUGUGCUUCGCUCAGACAGUGUUCCUGGCCAUCGCAACCCCAUCCCUCCGAGGUUCUCCGCCACGCUUAUUAUAUCACGCACCGUCGAAUCGAAAUUGCUGUGUUUGUGCACGUGUGGUGAGCUUCAAAGGGAAUGGCGUUCCGAGCUGCGGCGGUGGCGAGGCCUCCUCCUCCUCCUCCUUCUCCUUCUUCUUCUUCUUCUUCUUCGACCAAGCCCAAUCCCCGGGCGCUGCGUAGGGCAUCUUCUUCUUCUCCACCUCGCUCCCACGCUUCCCCCGCGGCGCUCUCCCUCGUCGCCCUCUUCGCCACUUCCGCUUCCUACUCCGAGGCCAAGGCUCUCGCCUUCUCCAAAGAGAGCAUCGUCGAUUCCCUCACUAAGGCAUUGUUGCUCCUUCACCCUCUCUCUCUCUCUCUCUCUCUCUCUCUCUCUCGGUAGGAAUGUUGUUGAGUAAGAAAAAAAUAAUUAGAUUUUUUGUACGAUUCAGGGGAGUAUAAAUGAGCAAUUUUGAAACCUUUAAUGCAAAAUUGCCGAAUCUUUUCGAACUUGUUUUGAUUUUAUAAAAAAAAAGAAAUUUCUAGAGCAGAAAUAAGAUUUUAAGCCUCAACAACCAAAGCCUUGCUUUGGUGCUUCUUAUUUUGCUGUAGAAAUAAGUUACCGAGGGUAUUUUAAUGUGUAUAUAUAUAUAUUUUUUGCUCUAGUAUUUAAUAUCCCUGCUAAGUUUAUGCGAAUUGCUAGAGAACUCUUCUUAAAUUACAUUGAAACUCCUAAAAUUCUUGAAAAUUUGCUCUAUUUUGAUUAGGUGGAGAGCACAAUUGACCAGGUUGAGGAUGUGGGUUCCAAAGUUGUGGACUUCACCCUGAACAUAUUUAAGGUCUUGAGUGAUACACUGAAGCCAGGGGUCGACGCCGCGCUUCCGGUCCUCAAAAGUGCUGGCGAGGAAGCGCUUAAGAUUGCUUUGCCGGUCGUUUCAGAUGCUUCUAAGCUGGCCAAGGAGGCUCUUCAGAGUGCUGGUGUUGAUCCCAGCCCUGUUUUGUCUGCUGCCAAGGUUGAUCCCUGUUAUUUCUUUCUAUUUCUUGUUUGAAUUCGCCAAUUUCUUCGAAUGCUUUAAUCGGAUCAUUAUACGAUGAUAUUUUAAUAUCUUAUAUUCAACUCUGUAGACCUAACACUUAUCAGAUCGUGUAGUUAAUGUUGGAUCAGAUUGUUUGCAUGUGUGGGAUCUUUUCAAGUUUCAAUGUACCAUAUUAACUACUUCACAUUCUUAUUGAGUUUUUGUAAACUCCACAAAGUUAUUUAACAUUCAUGACAAGUAAAUUGGUUUGCUCAAAGACUGAUACUUUUUUUUAUGUCAGUAGACAGUUGCAGAUGCUGCGAAGCAGAGCACAAAGGUCAUAGAAGGCGCAAAGCCUAUUGCCUCUGCCACUGUUGAGACAAUUGCAUCAUCGGAUCCUUCGGUGAUUGUUGUAUCAGCUGGAGCUUUAUUUCUUGCGUAUCUUCUCCUUCCGCCAAUUUGGUCAGCAGUUUCUUUCAAUCUUCGGGGUUAUAAAGGUACAUUAUUUGGUUCAAGGCUAUGAAAUUUUCUUUUCUUGCCCACAUAGUUUUUAAGAAUUAGAUUUUGAGAAGGUGGUUCAACAUAUCUUUAAUCAGGAAGAAGCAUUACGUCGCAGAGGAAUGCUAUGGCAAUUUCCAUACUAUGAAGAAGGAGAAAAUGUUUUAGUUUAUUAUCUAUGCUGUGUUUAAUUUCGUCAAGUUACAGUGGAUUGAAUCGAAAAUAUAUGGUGGAGUUCUUGGAAAUUGUUUCAACAGAAAGUAUGGCUAAAAUUGUUUUGAUGGCAACGCUCGCUCUAACGGAAAAAAACUUUUUGAUCAAAACUUUUUUUGUAAUUGUAGACAGUUCAUUUAAUUGAUUUGAGAUUUCAAAAUCCGCAAAAGCUACUAGUGAAUGACACAAGAAAAUAGCUCUGGUACUCUAUGAGUAAGAUAGUAAUGUUUUUUUUUAUAUUUUUUAUUUUCAUAUAGCCUGAGUUGUAAGUGAUUUGUUUUUUUUUUUGUUUUUUUUUUUUUAAAGAGUGUAAAAAACAUGGGAACUUAGAAAGAUCUGAGAUUACACAUCUACAGUUUCUGUGUUGGAGGUGGUCUUCAUGACUUCAUGUUAAUGUCGAGUUCAUUAAUUUCUCUUUUUGGUAGGCGAUCUCAGCCCUGCUCAAUCUCUUGACCUUAUUUGUUCGCAAAACUAUCUUAUGAUCGAUAUACGGUCGGAGAAAGAUAAGAGUAAAGCUGGAGUACCUCGGCUCCCCUCUAGUGCCAAGAGCAAGAUGAUCUCUGUGCCGUAAGUCUUUUCCCCUCAUAGCUUCUUACUUCAAGCAAUUACGGAAUAACCUGACAAUGGAACCCCAUUUUCUGUAGUUUGGAGGAACUACCUAGCAAGAUAAAAGGCUUGGUGAGGAAUGUGAAGAAAGUUGAGGCAGAAAUAGUCGCAGUAAAGAUUUCGUACCUCAAGAGAGUCAACAAGGGUUCUAACAUCGUACUAAUGGACUCGUAGGUUUUAUUUAACUCAACUUUUACUUUAUUAAUCACUUUUUUUUUGUUAUUUGUGGUUUUAUUAGAAUAAAGUUCCUGAAGUUUGAUUUCCAUUUUAAUGUGACUCAAUUUUGAGAAUAUUGUAACUGAAUGCUCCUCCCGCGUAACAGUUUUGAGUCUGAUCAAUAUCAUUGUUACAGUUUUCUUAGGUUGGUAGACUAAAAUUGUUUGCGGAAAACUUAAAGGUGAAACAGAAAUUCUGAGAGCACAAUUGAAAUCUGAAAUCGGACUUUACGGACUAAAUAAAAUUGUUUCGAUCUCUCAAUUUUUUAUUUCCCCUGUUAAUGAGAGUAUGUUGCUGAAAUAUGCAGGUAUUCUGAUACGGCGAAAACUGUUGCGAGGGCGCUAACUGGUCUUGGCUUCAAGAACUGUUGGGUCAUGAAGGGUGGCUUCUCUGGGGGAAAUGGAUGGUUGCGAAGCGGACUAGGGACGGACUCGUACAAUUUGUCGCUCGUCGAGGUUUUGUCACCUUCAAGAGUUAUCCCAGCGGCCGCUGCGCGGUUCGGUACCACAAGCUCGACUGCUUUCCAGUCAAACAGGAAGCUUCUUCCGGGGAGUGCUGAUUAGUUUAUAUAUAUUUUUUCUACCGCAGCUCUUGUUGUAAUCAGUAAUUUGUAACUUUGAGAUAGAUUCGUCGUCAGUUUAUACAAUAUGCCGUUUCUUUGUGUCAUCAGUUGUAGUGUUGUAUGUGAAAUUAUUCAUUUCAUUUUACUCGGACCACAUAGUUGCCAUGGGUUCGCAUUCUCUUAAAAUGGAAAAGGAUAAUAUUUAGUGGCUUGUAAAAUUGAAAUUUAUUAGCUGAUUCUUGUUUGAUGUGACAGAUCAGGUUUGGACAAUAAUUACGUGUGAGUCGCGACUAAAAAAGGACGGGUGCUAUUUUUAUCGCUUGCGCUAGAGAUGAUUUGUAGGAAAAUUAGCAAGAGUUUUUAUUUUUGUUCAUGAUUUUGGAACUUUGAUGAGACUCUUUUGAGGUUACGGUGUUUAAAAAUAUCCGUAAAAGAGAGGUGGUAUGAAAAAAAUCGAAUCGGAUCCUCAUGUAUUAGUAUCCGACCCGGUAACAUCCCUAUCUUCUUUUUAAAGCUUGCUACCGAACUUGACCAACCAUUCCAAUUAUUCGUCCAAUCACGUACUCUUUUUCUUUUUUCAAAUAAAAAAGUUGUGCUCGAUUUUAGCCCUUCGCCCACUACUAAAUUGCUUCUCCCUCCCUACUCACAAAAUAAAAGAAAAGGAAAAAUUGCAACAUUUUCGGGUUUUUCGGGUUAAUUUUUUUGAGGAUCACGUUAAUGUAAAUAAAUCCGAACCCGCAGCAUAACCAAGAGUGGCGUCGUCUUCUUACUCGUCGUCGUCGGAGGAGGAGAGAGAGAGAGAGAGAGAGAGAGAGCGAUAGAGAGAGAAACACGCGGCGGAGCUCGGCGGAGAGUAUAGAGGGGUGCGAAUGGCGUACGCGGCGCUCGAUCGGAUAUGGUCGGAGGACAUCGCCGCCGUCGGAGUGGCAUCGGACGAGGCCGAGAAGCUCCGCGUGGCGCUCCGUGAGGUGCUCCGGGAGUCCGGGAGCUCGGGACCCGAGGCGUGGAGGGAGAUAUCGAAGCGCCUCCUAAACCCUAAUCUCCCGUUCGCUUUGCAUCAGAUGCUGUACUACGGGUGCUACAAGGAUUACGAUUCCGAUACUCCCCCCGCGUGGAUUCCGAACAUGUAAUCCCCUCUCUCUCUCCUCUAUCUCGAGGCUAAUAAAAGAAUUAGAAAAAGAAAAUAGAUGUUUUAUGAUAUUAGGUUGUUGAAAUUUGGUUUUCAAAUGUUUAGUCGGAGUCAUUUCUGGGUUGUUUAGAUUCAGUUGGAUGCAGAAGAGCUUGUAGGCGAAAUUGGAAAAGUUAAUAAGCUAACUACUCGUGGGUUAAAUCUUGUAAAUUUGAAGUAGCGUGAUGCGAUUAGAAGUAGCAAGAUGAGUUUUUGGCGACAAAGUUUCGUUUCCUGGGGGAGGAUAUUGGAGAAAAGGAGAAUAAAGAUUAGUUUUUUUAAGAUACCGUACUAAGUUGCGUGAUUAGAUAACACUUGUAUCAUAAAAGAUGUCGUAAAAUGUUCAUCGACGAAUCUCUUUGUUGUUUGCUAUUUGCUCAGUUAUUUUUCUGUCGCGACUGUUCCUCGAAAUUUUGUUGAAUGGCUAAGUAUGAAUGAGCAGAGAGGAAGCAGUCUCAACAAAUAUUGGUCGGUUAUUAGAGAAGCGCGGGAAAGAAUUACUUGGCUCGGCAUAUAACAAUCCUAUAGCUAGCUUUUCGGACUUCCAGAAAUUCUCUGUCUCGAACCCUGAGGUAUUUCUGGAAAAUUCCCAUUGUUGGUUGUUCAUUAUGUAAUAUUACGAACGCAAUUGGUCUCUAUGUUUUUUUUUUUUUUUUAAUAUUCUCCUUACAGGAAUACUGGAAAAUGAUUUUUGAGGAGAUGAGGAUAAAAUUCAGCGUGCAGCCGUCAUGCAUUCUGCGUGAAAGUGAUUCUUAUCCUGGAGGUCAAUGGUUACCCGGGGCUUAUUUAAAUUCUGCUGAGAAUUGCUUGAUUUUGAAUGGUAAAAGAGAUGCCGAUGAUGUCGUGGUGAUAUGGAGAGAUGAAGGCUGUGAUGACAUGCCUGUCAAUCGAAUGACACUUGAGGAAUUGAGAGCAGAAGUCUGGUAAUGUUUAUAUCAUCAAAAGAGCCGUCUACUUUUGAACCUUUUUUCUUUGGCUGUCUACUUUCAAUUUGAAUGUGCUUGUUUUUUCUUUAAUGCUCGAAUGCGUCUGCUCUUGUCAUCCUAUUUGUUUCUCCGGUUAAAAUGGGAAUGCAACUUGUCUUUUCUUUUUCCUUUUUUUCUUAUUGAAGAACACUUGUUUUCUCUACUAGUUAUCUCAUCUUAAUCUUAUUUCCAUUAUGUGUCCCGAGAGUUCUUUUUCCAGGAAAUCUUUUUUUUUUUUCUAUUGAUAUAUCUAAGAUAAACUUUUAUUAUUCAAGUUGGUGAAAAGUAAUAAUGGCAUUUAAUUUUGCAGUACUGUGGCUAAUGCACUGGACUCACUGGACUUGGCAAAAGGAUCUGCUAUUGCAAUUGACAUGCCGAUGCAUGUGAAUGCUGUAGUCAUCUACCUUGCUGUUGUGUUAGCAGGCUAUGUGGUCGUCUCCAUUGCUGAUAGUUUUGCUUCUACUGAAAUAUCAACAAGACUCAAAAUUUCAAAUGCAAAAGCAAUUUUUACUCAGGUCAGCAUUUAUCAUUGCUGAAUUGGAUGAUUAACUGGCGAGUUAUGCUUUUUUUUCUCUAAAGCUGUAAUAUUUUCUCUAGCCGGCCUAGACUUGCCUAUUUUGCCUAUGCUUAAGCUAAUCUUUGUAUUAUUGGCAUACAAUUGCUGUCUUUCUUUGCUGGCAAAUCUGUAAUGCUGGUAGAUAAGAUAAAUGUCCUUGAGUCCUCUUACAGAUGAAAUUCAGAGUUUGAGUAUCCAUUGAAUCCUAUCAUUUUGGUUUAUUUUUUAUUAUGCAGCUCUUUACUCUUUCGAAGCGAUUUUGAACGCUCGUUUACUAUUUAACUUUAUGGUUGUAGGAAUAUAUCAUUCGUGGUGAAAAGAAACUUCCCCUAUAUAGGUGCUGUAAUGGUCUCUUCUUUUCAUAUACGCCAGACCUGGUAGAUUAUAACCCUUUCUCACGCUGUAAUUUUGGUAUUUCAGUAGAGUUGUUGAUGCUCAUGCUCCGCUAGCUGUUGUGCUCCCUACAAAAGGCUCCAACUUCAUAGCAGGAUUGCGUGACGAUGAUAUAUCUUGGCAUGACUUCUUGGGAAGAGUGAAACAUAUCAAGUAUGAAUUAUGAAAGCCUUUUGCUCAUGUGUUCCCUUUUCUCUUUCCACUUUUAUAAUAAAAAUAUGGUUUUUUUUGGUCAUUUAUAUUCUCAGGAUUCCCUGUGAGUUGAGUAUCUUUUAAAUAUUUUGAAUUGUAUGAUGAGAGAUCAUGGUCAAGUGUGGUGCUAACUUUCGUCAAAUUGCACUAACACCUAAUAAUUCGAAUCUACUUGCUUUUCUAUUCCAAGUUUCCGAUGAAAGUAGAUAGUAAUUUAUCUCAUGAAGUAUAUUCUUGUAGGCGUUGUACAAUGUUUCUCUAUUUCUAGAUAUAUAAUGAAGUUUCUCGAGCUUUGGAGAAUAUAGAUCUAAAUCGACUAUCACACACAGCGGAUAUUUAGGAAGUUCUAAAUCUUUAUUACUUAUUUGGAAACUACAGAUAUAAUGAUUACGUGGCAGUAGAACAACCCAUAGAGGCCUUCACAAACAUCCUCUUUUCCUCGGGGACUACAGGUGAGUUUCAUUGUUCUUAAUAUUGCAGCCUUUUUCUGCAUCCUAUAAACAAAGGUAGGCUUCAGUAGUUGUAAUAGUUGUGUUUUCAAUAAUUAUGUAGAGCUAAAUUAGGUUCCUUGGCCUAUUAUCACAAUAACAGUAUCACCUAAACAUUAUCAGAUAUCACCAGUAGUCCUAAAUACUAUCUAGCUUGCUUCUUUUCCUUUUUCCUUUGCUUGGAAUGCUGUUUAUGCUGAAUGGGUACAAGGAUACAGCACAAAAUGGUGUAUAACAGAAAAAUCACGUGCAGCAUGUGUGUAUAUCAUGUUAAAUCAAAUAUGUAAGUUGCGACCUUGCAGCCUUAGUGUGUCAGUGAAAGUUUCUAUGUUCAUUCUUAUAUGUACUAACAUAUAUAUAUAUAUAUAUAUAUAUAUAUAUAUACAAGGAUUUAAGUGUCGUGGCACGAGGUUGUGUCGGAAACUUACCGGCACGGUGCGUGCCGAGCCGUGCCGAGCCGUACCGAUACGUGCCGGUCAAAAAAAUUCUUGUGUGCCGACACAUAAUAGUAUGAAAUAUUUAUUUUCUUUAGCAACAAAAUAUUCUAACUAUUUAUUAUGUCCUUUUAUCACAUCUUUUGAACUUUAUUGAGGAAAUUACUUACUAAUUUAAAGAAUAGAAGGUUUUGAGCUGUGCCAUCGGCACGGGAUCUGUAUCGUGCCGGUAUCUUGUUGGCACGAUACGGCACAGUGGAUACGGUCCGUGCCGACGGGCACUUAAAACCUUGUAUAUAUAUAUAUUUACAUCUAAAUGAAGCAUAUACCAGUAUUGAAUCCUUCACCAGAUAAAGGAGUGCCAAACUUGGACAAAGGAAAACUUGUUAGGAAAAUUUAUUUCGUAAUGUUUAAGUCCAUAAAAAGUCCAUGAAACCUCCCCACUUCUUCCAAACUUAAUUUUGGAUUUUUUAUAAUAAAUUAGUUUGAUUAAUUUCUCAUCUAGUAUAAGCUUUUCUGUGGGUCUUUGGAUAUUUAAUCAGUUAUAUCAUAUUUCAUUAUUCCCAAAUGUCAAAUUACCUUCUUUGUUUGUCCUUUCUCAGGGGAACCAAAGGCAAUUCCAUGGACACACGCAACUCCUCUAAAGGCUGCUGCUGAUGCAUGGUGUCAUAUGGAUAUCCGCAAGGGUGAUGUUGUUGCAUGGCCUACUAAUCUUGGUUGGAUGAUGGGCCCUUGGCUUGUUUAUGCCUCAUUACUGAAUGGAGCUUCCAUGGCACUAUACAACGGCUCCCCUCUUGGUUCAGGUUUCGCAAAGUUUGUGCAGGUACAUUAAAUUCAGACACAAAAUUCUUGGAUAUGAUGAUACUUUUGACUGGUUAGCCACAUUGCUUUGCCUUCUCUUUUGGACUCGGUGGGCACUUGGUAGUGUACUUACCCAAUGUUUUAAUGGCUUCUCAUCUGCAUGUAUUUACACUAUUUAUUGUCUUCUUCUUGAUACUAUUGAAUUGUGUGAACAACUUACAAAACUCAAAAAACAUUUCCGCUUAUAGUACGGAAACUUUUUUUUCCUUUAAUUGGUAGGAUGCUAAGGUAACAAUGCUUGGCGUGGUUCCAAGUAUUGUCCGUGCUUGGAAAAACACAAAUUGCACUGGGGGCCUUGAUUGGUCUACUAUUCGGUAAGAUAAAGUUCCAGAUUGUGCAGCUUUUCAGUUUUCAUAUGUUACCUUAUCAGUUUAGCGACCAUAGGAAUAGAAGUGCAUCGAGUUGCUUUCCCAAUUCCCGUACUAGAAGUCGUGCCCACAUGAUCUUCUUUCUUUUCUUCUUUACACAUUGGUAGAUGCUUUGGCUCCACUGGAGAGGCAUCUAGUGUAGAUGAGUACCUAUGGUUGAUGGGAAGAGCGAACUACAAGCCUGUCAUUGAGUACUGUGGAGGCACAGAGAUUGGAGGCGGAUUUAUUACCGGCUCACUGCUACAGCCUCAAGUGUUAUCUGCAUUUAGUACACCUGCUAUGGGAUGCAGCCUAUUUAUUCUUGACAGUGAUGGAAAGCCACUAGUAAGUUUAAUUCAGCAUCUCAUUCUUUAAUGGAAGCUUGCAUAAAUGUGGUUAAAAUUGUUAAUCCUUUCAUUUACUGUAGUUUAGAAAUUUAGGGCUUUUAGGAAAAGUUUUGCAAGCAAUUGCUAAGCAGUGUUUACCAUGUUCUGUUCUUUAAAUUGUAGAAGAAGCUUGCAUAAAUGUGGUAAAAUUGUUAAUCCUAUCAGUCAAUGUAAUCUAGAAAUUGUAUUAGGGGUUGUAAGAAAAGUUUUGCAUGCAAUUGCUAAGCAGCGAUUACCAUGUUCUUUUCUCUAAAUUGCAGCCGCCGAAUAAAGCUGGGAUUGGAGAGCUAGCUCUUGAUCCAACAAUGUUUGGAGCAUCUACCACCUUACUAAAUGCUAAUCAUUAUGAUGUCUAUUUCGCAGGCAUGCCAGUUUGGAAUGGGAAGGUAAUAGUAAAUCUGAGCCUUUGUUGUCGCCCCAAAGAAUUUGUAUGUUUUCAAUCUAAGAUAUCAAAUGCAGGUUCUCCGAAGGCAUGGGGAUGAAUUUGAACGGACAGCUGGAGGGUAUUACAGAGCACAUGGUCGUGCAGAUGACACUAUGAAUCUUGGUGGCAUUAAGGUUAAACUCGAAACAAAAGUAAAUCGACUCCAAGACCAUAACUAAGCUUACGUAAUUCAAUUGAUAUCACUGUUUGAUAUUUAUGCUUAGGUAAGUUCCAUUGAGAUCGAAAGAGUUUGUAAUGGAGUUAAAGAUACAAUUCUCGAGACUGCUGCUGUUGGGGUCCCACCGCUUGGUGGUGGUCCUGAACAGUUAUUCUUGGCAGUCGUCUUCAAAGAUCAGAGUAAUGUGAAAGAAGACCUGGAUCAAUUGAAGAGGGAAUUCAACUCUGCUUUGCAGAAGAAACUGAAUCCUCUCUUUAGGGUACUCUUUUACCUUUUGCUGAUAUUCUUUCUUUUCCUUGCUUGGAAGGUGGUAUGUGAAAUGUGUACAAACACAUAAUAUUUCAUUAUCUUUUCCCUCUUAACAGGUUUCAUCUGUCGUUGCUGUGCCAUCUCUUCCUCGAACCGCGUCAAAUAAAGUCAUGAGAAGAGUUCUGCGGAAAGAAUUCUCUCAGCAGAGUCAACGGGCUAAAUUCUAAACAAUCCGAUCUUAUCUAUUUACAAUGUCACAAGUUGAUGCUGCAGUGUAUAGUAUGUCUCCUGUAAUCUCCGAAUUCUCUCAAGUAUAUUAAUUGUUAUGCAUUCUCUGUCCUUUUCUAAAUUUUCAGAUAAAGCAAUUAUUCUCCAUGCAGCUAUUAUUGCUGCUAUCAGAAAUGUAUAAUCUGCUUAAUACCAUUUCUAGUUUGAAAACAAAAAAUGUUAUUAACUAACAAAUUUUGAAUUUUUCGGAGUACACAACUUAAUUGCAAUUUAGGGAUCUACACUCUCAGCAUCUGAAGCAGCAUGUCAUUCCACACAUCUAUCGGCCCAGGCAAACACCAGUGCACGCAAUCGUUGUACAGUGUAACUUUCUCGUUCGCCCGGUGCCCGUAUCUGCUUGGGUGCCCAUCGGGCCUCAACAACAUUGCUUCUGUAGUAUCCAUCAGCAUAAGUUUCACCCCCUUCUUUCUCGCUUCCUUCUCCGCUUCCCUAAAUUCCUCUACUUGCAUGUUAUAAAACUCGGCCUCCAAUCCCUCCAACCUUGUAUCAUUGCUUCGAAACGGCCAUGUCCGCAUACAGUUUCCUCCCUUGUUCCAUUCUCCAUUCUCAAAGUGAGAUGGUGACACCGUUCUUAAAAUCAUCUUUCCUUUGAAGUUAAGCUCAUUGAUGGUUCGGAGUGCAGUUCUAAAAGCCAUUCGGUGAGAGUAGCGGAGAGUUAGGUCCGUCACAUUGUCGUCUAGGCAGUAGUGGCAGCCAACGAGCCGACCCUUCUCGUAGAACAUUGAGGAUCGAGUGAACCAGUUGCUUGCUGACAUGAUUAUGUAGUCGAACCGGCUUAUUUGGGAGGCCCAAUUGUCGUCGGCUUCAUCGAGGUAGAGGUUCCAUAGGCCGGUGUGAGUUGGGCCGUUUGAAUCUAUUUCAUGGGCUUUGAUCAGAAAAGGGGACCAGAAGAUCAAAAUGGUGAAACCGUAGCUUCUGAAGAUCAUGCGUUUGAAGUUUGGGUCCCUGGAAUCAGAGAUGUCCUUUGGGUGCUCUACCUGAAAAAAAAAAAAAUUAUAUUUUGCAAGCACUGAUCCCAGAAAUUUCGUGUGCUAUGCUCUUUAUUACUAUGUAUGAUUUUUGAUUCUUUUCAUCUUCACCUGUAUUUCUAGUUAACAUAAUGCAUCAUUAAUAGUUACAAAUAUGAUUCUAUAAUGGUAAGAUUUUAUAUGUCUGAAAACGCAUUCAUGAUUAUUGUAGAUAACAGAAUAGAGUUCAAAGCGAUCGACAAGAAGUUGAACCUGUGACAUUCAAGACUGUAUAGAGAACUUCAGGAGAAGAAAUCAUCAGAAUGCCAUAACUGAAUCAUCAUAUGCGAAUGCAGCAUCAGGUAAUCUACGCCUUCUCACCCAAUGGCAAACAAUCCUAAUACAAUAGAUGAAGCUUGAUUUUUAUUUUUUUUUUCCCUUUUCUGUCUUUAUGGGCCUUUGAUAGUGAGAUCUAAUUUCAAAUGGGUCUUUACUUGCUGUGUAAACUACAAUACAUUCUACUGCUGAGAAUUUUUCAAUCAUGGAUUUGUGUGGCUUCAGGUCAGACUGGGUGUACACAUUUUAUUUACAUAGUCAAUAAUUAUUAGUAAAUCUUUUGAGGGAUUUCCAUUCGAUGCAAAUCGAAAAAUCAUAUUUUCUAAAUAAUAUUGGCUGUGUCAUUACCUUUGACAAGAGACACAUCAAGGACUGCAUAUGGUUCCUAGCCAAGGAGUCCCCCACAAAUGCCAGGGAUCUGUUCCUCAUGAGAUCGAGGAACCUCUCUGGGUCGAACCGCGGGAGUUUGCAUCCCUCGGGCUUCCAUUUCCACUUCAAGAAGUUGAGGUCUGGUUUGCCAUACUUGAUGCAGUUCUGGUGCUCUUGGAUCAUAAAACAAGUCAUGUUUGUGUAGUAUGGCAUCUCCGGAUCCCAAAUCCAUUCUCCCUUGAAUAUGUUACACUCUUUAACCAAGCUAAUAGAAUUCGAAUUAGGAGGAAAGGGAGAAGAAGAAGAAGAAGAAGAAGAGGAAGAGGAAGAGGAAGAGGAAGAAGAAAGAGGAGGAUCACUUGUAGGAGAAAAAGAAACUUUGUAUGGGUUGGGGUGAAGAAAAGAGGGCUUAUAUAAGCUGAUGAUGGUGAAGAAUAGAAGGAUUAGCGCUGAAACGAAAACUAAUUUUGAAACACUUUGUAGGUUGUGAUGAUGCCUCAAGAAGGGGAGUUUGAUUAGAGGAGACCUCAUUGAAGAGUUAGAAGAGGAGGUCAGAGAACCAAGGUAUGAAUUAGCGCUUGAGACUCAGAAAGAACGGGGCUAGUUCCUUUAUUUUCGUUCAUAGAAUAUAUCCAGUGUUGGAGUUUAGGUAAGUGUCGUGCGGGCCAUGUUCUCCACUUGUUUGUAUAUAAAAACUUAUAUUAUCUGAUUCACAUGGCUGAGUUGGCACUACAAGCCCAUCUCAUCAUCUUCAAGCUUCAACCCUUAGAUGUGUUGUUGAUUUCGUCACUAUUAUUAUCUUAGGUCUUCCAAACCCACUUCUAAUAUUGGUCCACAUCGAUUGAGGUUACAAAUAGAUCGUUUGCAAUAAUCUAUAAAUUCAAUAGUAUAUUUCUUUCAAAGAUCGCUCAUGUGAUUCUCAUGGCCACCGACAUAGACUAGAGGCACUGAUUGACUAAGUAAAUUAAUUUUUCAGUGGAAGCAGUACUGGACUGCAUGUCUUGUUUAAAUUACUAAUAAUAGUUUUGGGGGCAAGAACAGAUCACAAUGUCAGGUGUAAUGGUCCUGUUUUAUGCUGGGUGUGUGUGUGUGUGUUGUAAUUUUCAGAACUCCAGGCUGGGAAACUAAUAUUUUUAUAAACAAAUUAAGAUCACUGUCAGAUCUUGGGAAGACUUUACUUAGAGUUAGGGAUUCGGGAUUCUCAAACGAUAAUCCAACAUGCAGGAUUCAAAGAGCUUUUAGGUAGGGGAUUCUCAAAAGAUAGUCUAAAAUGCAGGAUACGAAAACCUUUUAGGUAGAGGAUUCUCAAAAGAUAAGUCUAAAAUGCAGAAUACAAAAGCUCUUUUAGGUGGGAUUAUGGGAAUGCCAACGGAUCAAGCCAACUAUCGGGUCGAGCUUACGAGAACAAAGGCUUCAUCAUAUGUUUUAGCUUAAUCACUUGAUCAUACACAUGUUAGCAUCCAUGUGCAUAGCAUGUGUAUAUGUAUAUGAUCUAAUAAUAUUAUUGAGAUAGAUAUUUCUGAAGCCAGCCAAGGAGUUGGUGCUUUUGAUUUUGAGUCCUUAGAUGGAGGUGUUGUAAUGGCUGGAUAAGUAAUAGCCCACUUGGGUUGAGUAUGUAGGUGGAAUGUAUUUGAUUCGAAGAGGCUAUUAGUAGUCAAAGGUAGAUUUUGGGCUAAAAACCUAAAAACACAAUAGGUUGGUGCUUUUAAGAUGUAUUCUUAAUCAAUAUAUAUAUCUAUAUUAUUAAUAUAUAUAAUAUAUAUAAUAUAAUAUAAUAUAUUAGUAGGGCUAUGAAUACUCUGUAAAAGUAUCAUGGGAUGAUACUUGUUGUUUUUAGCCCUUAGAUGGAGAGAUGUGAGGUUGAGAUAAGAUGUGGUAGGUGGCUGAACAUAGUGUUUAAUCCAAGGCUAUUAUAAUCAAAAAUCGAUCCAGACUGCGCUUAAAACCUAAUAGCACCAUGUAUAUACUUGUAAAAAGUAUCAUAGCUCACUCUAUAUACUAUAUAUAUAUAUCUUAUAAUUAUAUAUAGUAUAUAAUAUAUAUCAUAUAAGAAGCAUGACUGUUGUACUCCUCAAGGAGCAGGAGGCCCUCUGGCUCCUGAGCUGUUUUCGGAUGAUGGAAUUCGAAUGCGAACAGUCGCACCCUCCGUUAGACUUGAUCUAGCGUAUUUGAAGUUUCUAGAAAAUAUUUUUUGUGAUUUUUCGAUAUCAUUUACCUAGCAAUCGAAAGGAUUCAAAAUCAAUAAUUUUUAACGGCUGAAAAUAAAAUUCCUAUAAAAAGUGGUGAUAUAGCACUAAAACUUUCGAUCAGAAAUAUUGAUCUUGUUGUAGAUAGUAUAAAGAAUGUUGUAUCAAAAUUUUAUCUGAUUUGAAUACUUCUAUACCGUUAAACUUGAAACAGCAGAUAUUAACCAUUAAAAAUUAUUGACUUUGAAUCCUUUCGAACACUAGGUAAAUGAUAUAAACAAAUCACAAAAAUUAUUUUCUAGAAACUUCAAAUACGCUAGAUCAAGUCUAACGGAGCCGAUCAUCUAUUCGAAAAUACCAUCAUCGAAAACGGCUCAGGAGCACGGAAACUUCCAUGCUCCUGAGAGCACANGAGAGAGAGAGAGAGAGAGAGAGAGAGAGAGAGAGAGAGCGAGUGAGCUUGAAAUUUGAAAUUGUUCAGAUACUUAACAUGGGUUUCUGGGAGGAGAGAGAGAGAGAGAGAGAGAGAGAGAGAGAGAGAGAGAGAUAGAGCAAAAUUUGAAGGGUGGUGGAGAAGAUGGCAAAGAGAGAGCACUUUCAGAGGCCGAGGUCACAGAUGCCUACCUUUAUGAAAGAAUGGCAAGGAAAGAGACAGUGCAGAAAAGUAUGUAUGUGAAGCAUAAAAAUGGUGUCAAUUUAAAACAAUCAACAUCGAUCUUCAUAGAUGUUGGACCUCACUAGUCUCAGUACUAACACUAGCUGUUGCUUUCGCGGGGCUUGUCCGUCCGAUGCCCGAUUGGUCCAGAGCUCCAGCGCAGGCCGGAAAGACCGGAUCGGUGUCUCAUCUUUUAGGUUAGUGAAGCAUCCGAUGGCUACACUUGAGAAGCAUGCAUGGGCGCGGUGAAAGGCAAGUAUUCAAGAUAUGGUCCCGACAUGUUGUACGUGACGACACACUUGCGAUCGUCGAUCACCUGCUCCUCAUGUUGUUUGUGGAUAGGAAAAUAAAAUAUAUAUAUAUAUAUAUAUAUAUAUAUAUAUAUAUAUAUAUAUAUAUAUAUAUAUAUAUUGGAUUGAGCUCCUAUAUUUUUAAAAAUACAAGUCAUUGAUGCUUGUCAGUCUUCGGCCCUUGGAUUAAGAGAUAUACGGUUAGGAUGAUAGUUAUCUCCUAAGGUUGAGUGGGUAAUUGGUUGAAUAGUAUGAUCUAACGAAUGAAAAUAAUCAAAGUGGUAGAUCUAAAGGCGAAAAACUUACAAGCAUGAUGUGCUUGGUACUUUUGAAGGCACCAUGCCGGACUCUAAUUACUGUAUAUUGUUAUGAACAUGUAUAUAUACAGAUAUGAUGGGUUUGAAGAUGAUCUUAAAGAUCCUUCACAACUGGGAUUUUGGGUAGUGAUCGCAUAAUCAAAUAAUCACUGCCGACGUUCCCAAUGACUGAUUUUGAUCUACGUAAAGUAUUAUAUUUUUUAUGGGGAAGAAUUUGUCUGGGAAGCAACUAUGGAGAUUCUGCCGCACUAAGAAAAAGGGACAAAAAAAAGGGGGGGAAAAAGAAAAAAACUGGCCGAAGUUUAAAAUCAUAGAAUUAUAGCAUAAUUGAUAAUUGUUAGCAAUUUUUUUGAUGCCAUUUGCGUUUGAAACAGCUGAAAAAUAAGUAAUUUUUGAUACGGGUAUUUACCUUGGACAGCACGCACAACAAGGACUGCAUGUGGUUCCUAGCCAAGGAGUCCCCUACAAAUGCCAGGGAUUUGUGCCUCACGAGAUUGAGGAACCUCGCUGCAUCGAACCGCGGAAGUUCGCAGCUCUCGGGCUUCCACCUCCACUUCAAGAAGCUGAGGUCCGGCCUCCCGUACUUGAGGCAGUUCUGAUGCUCUUGGAUGGUGAAACAAUUCUUGUUUGUGUAGUACGGCAUCUCCGAAUCCCACUUCCAUUUCCCCCUGAAUAUGUCACACUCUGUCAGGUUAACAAAAUACGCAGCAGCGUCCUCAUCCGCAGCACCGGCAGACGAAGCGACCAGCGCGUCGUAUAGGGUGAUCUUGGUAAAGAAUACAAGGAUCAACACGACGAGCAAGACGAAUUUCGGAAAGCUCUGCGGGCUGUGGCGAUGCCUGGAGAAAGGGAGUUUGAGCAGAGGGGACUUCAUUGCGGAGUUGCGCGAGAAGAAGGCCAGGGAACAAAGGUGUGAAUCAAUACUUAUUGUGGUUAAAUAUUUCCACUUCUUUGGUGCGAAUAUAUUUAGUGCUUGUCGCUUUGGUUAGGUGUUGUGGGGGGACCAUGUUAUCAUCACUCGCCACUUCGUUGUUUCUAGGAGAAGCUAUAUAUUAUCAAAUUCACGAACGUGUGUGGGUCUGGCGCCACAGCAAGCCCAUCUAAUCAUGCCUUUGCUUCAUUCAUUUUGGUGUGGCACAGUGGUGUUGGCGUUAUCGCCACUAUUUUUAUUCCCGAUCGCUCAACGCCACUUUAAAUGCAAGUUGUGUAAAUUUCCUUUCCGAAAUCGCCCAUGUGACUCUCGCCAUCACCAUUACAGAGCAUCAGCGGGGCUCUUUAUUGCGAGUCGUAAUCAGAGAACGGUGUUUUCAUACUUUUACGUAGCGAAGGUGAAGUAAUAAGACAUUUUAGCCAGGACGAUUGACGGUCGGCCGACAAAAUUAGGAAAAAAAUUUGUAAGUUGCUGUUUGCUGGUUUGCAAAAGGAUGGCAGAGCAGGUAGGCAGUCUAUUUGUUAGUAGUAGUAGGUCAGCCGACUGCCCUUUCUUAAUGCGGUAAUUUCAAAUCUCCAGGCUGGGAGUACAGUGUCUGAAAAAAGUUUCCGAGUAAUUUUGGACGAUCUUUGAGGUGGAAAUUCUGAGAAGAUUCUAAAAUUGGUGAUGUAACUCUCUUUUGGUUAGUUAGUGAGGCUGGGGGGUCGAGCCAGCUAAUGUGGGGGGGCCCGUGUCUGUACCGCAAUGAAGAUAGAGGUAGCUUUGGUGGUCACGAUUUAAGAUCCAAAAAUUUUCUCUGACACUAAAAUUAUAAAAUUUUCACUAGAAUUAAAAUUUACAGAUUUCACUUUGAAGGAGCACAUUUAUGUCCUUGUCAUGAGCAUAAUUGAGGCCGUAAUAUGGGCCGUACUUAAAUGGGCCACACGAUGUAUGUGCUGACCCACCUCUAUUUUCGCACGAUCGCUAGUAGGCCGGUACAGUUCUUGAUCCAGACCAGGACCAGCUUGGGUUGUGCUCGGGUCGCGUCUUUUCAAUGUUAAUUUUUGUGAACUAUAUGUAGUAAUUUAUUCAAUAAAAUGAUUUUUAGAUAAAAUUUUCUUUACAAAAUAUUUAAGCUUCAAAUAGUUUAAAUUAUACUUGAGAGAAAAAGACCGCAACCUGGGGCGGCCUGCACCCAUGGCGUGGACCGUGGGCCUGCCGGGUGUGACGCCCAGUACAGCUGCGGCCUGGAUUGCAGUCCUAAUCUGCGCAACAAUGGAUCCACACAAAAAUGAAGGAUACCUGCUGCUGCUGCUGCUGCUGCUGCUGCUGCUGCUGAUGGAGAUAAGGAGAUUCUGCCCCGCGGAAAAGAACAUUGCGAAACUGGCCAAACUUUGGAGAUUGCAGUCGGAAGCUUUUUUUGGCUCAGUAGUUGUUAUCAAAGAUAGCCUUUCACAAAAUGGUCCUUCAGAAAUGUUAAAGGGGAUCUGUCGAUCCUCAUCCACAGGAAGUUUAUGUGGACUACAUGAUUCAGGUUUAUCUUGCAUCCCAUGCAUCGUGGAAUUCCACAGCUACAUGACCCUUGUAAACCCCACCCCAAAGAUGAUGUCCAAUCAUAAGAAUAACGUAGUUUGUAAAUUAUUGUAAAAUUUGUUGGUAAGUACAGCAUUACUCCUCUGUGACCCGAGCACUUAUAAAACAUAUUUGUCUCGUCCCAUUAGAGUCCGUACUUCUAUAUAAUGACUCGGCAAUAAUAAGUGCAAGCUCUAACCAAAGAAAAGCUCAUCUCUCGUACGUGCUAUAUACAGCACCAUCUAGGUUUCUCUCUCUCUCUCUCUCUCUAAUAAGUAUCUUCUUUUCAUUUUAGCAGUCACUAUACAUUUUCAAUUGAAGUUAGUAUUGAAUGAAGCGGGUAGCGUGCUACCUUUCCCUCAAAAAAAUAAAAUAAAAUUGAAGUUAGUAUUAAUUGUGUAAAGGAAACAACAAUUAAUGGUGAUGAUGGGCCAACAACUAGAGAGGCUAGUGGAAAGCCUCAAAUCGAAGCUAAAGUCUUUGAAGGCGAAGAAGCUUCAUUACAGCAAGGUCGAGAAGACGGAGAGCAUGAGGGUCGAGAUCAGAAGCAGAAAGGCUCAGAAGCUCAUCGCGAAGAACCUCGCCAUGGCCAACUCACUUAAUGGCCACAAGUACUACAUUUUUUGAGAUCGUAAACUCUACAUGUACUCUUUACUUUAGCCGUGAAAUUUUAGUUGCCAUAUGUAUUAGUAAUUUUAAGUAAUUUUACUUUUAGUCCAAAAAACUAUGAUAUUUCAGUGCAGAUUUGUACGGAAAAGGGCAUUCAUGUUUUGGUAUAGUUUAAUUUUUCAUGUAAUUAAUGUUUUCAAUGCACCAUAUAUCAAGAUCAAUUGCAUGUCUAGGUGCAAAAAGUACUUGAAAUUAGAUCUGCAUGAAUCACUAUAUAUAUUUUUGAAAGCCUUAUAUGGAGAGAGAGCUGAUUUAUUCACUUGUCAUAUAUAAUAACGUUAAUUAGUGCUAUCAUUUCCUAAAAAUAAAAAUUCAAAUUAUCAAAUCAUGAAUACCGAAAUAUAAUCUAUAUUUUACAUCUUUUUGAUCCAACCGAAGAGCGGAAGUGAGAGAAGAAAAAAAAAGGGAAAAAGAAAAAAUCGAGCUCAGCGAUAACCGUAGUAACGCUUGUAGUGGCUAUCGGCCCGGUUAUUCCGGAUGGCGCAGCACCCUAUCGAGUAGACGAUGAUGAGGAGGACGAGGAGCGCGACGUUGAAUAUCGACACCACCUUCCACUUGUUCUUGAUCGUCGCGAGCACGCCGGCCUUGCAGGAGUUGCAGCCGUAGCACAACUUAUCUUGGUCGUUGCUCCACGCCUUGCAGUCGGCGUCGCGCGUGUUGAGACCGGAUUUCGGCGCCACCCAGAAGGUAGCAUUCUUGUAUACAAAUCCACAGUACGUAGGAGGCUUGCAACAACCGGACUGCAUGCAUGCCGUAAUCAAGUGUUACGUACGUUGUCGUUCAUAUUGUCAAGAACAUUAAGAAUUCGACUUAAUUGUAAACAUACUAUAUAUACUUCAAUAUCUAUUUUUUUAAUAAAACGUCAAUAUAAAAUAAAUAAGUAAAACUAUUGAAACAAUUCCACACUCGAAACAUAUACUUAACGAUACAGGAUAUGAGACCCUAUGUAUGGCAAAUAUAUAUAUUUUUCGGGCUCGAUUGUUCUUUUAUUGUAAUGAUUCUUUAUGCAACAUUCUACAAUUAAUUCUCUACGUAGAAAUUUUUGUAUAGAUUAAUCUUGUUGCUCAUUAGAGCGCUGAUAAUGAAAAAACAAAGAACUAAACGUGCAAAAGUGAAUUGAUUAAAGAAUAAAUACCUGAAUGGGCGAGAGAUUCUGCUUGUAGAACUCGUUGGCCUUGGACCCGACCUCGCCGUCGAGCCCUCCGCAGAGCUUGGCGUCGCCGAUGCAGCUCUCGAUCUGCUUCCACGUGUUCCAAUCCGCAACCCUCCGCUGCAGCCAGUGGGAGUAAUCCCCGAGCCGGUACUCCUUGUACCCCUUCCCCGACACCGCCUCCCCGGCCCCGUGGUUGGUCACCACGAACGCGAACACCGCGAAGCAAAACAUGGCGAGGAUGAGGAUGAACAGCACGAAGAGGUAGACCCACAACAGGAACGAGACGCGGCAACACGACCCCAGCAGGCCCAUUAACGACACCGCGAGGAGGAAGAGCCCCAGCGCCAUCACGGGCCACUGCAGCGCCCGCUCGCACGCCGACGCCCCAUGGAUCUGGAACCACACGCCCGACCCGACCACCGGGAACGAGAUCACCAGCGUUAGGAUGUUUAGAAACCCCAGCAACCCGUUACUAACCCGAACCAUCUCUCCCUCUUUUUGCUCUUCUUCGUCCUCGUCGUCGUCUCUCUCUUUUUGCUCUUUUUCGUCGUCCUUGUCGCUGUUGUCGUCGUCGUCGUUCGUUCUCUCUUUGUAAUGGUGGAAAUGGAGGAGAGGGGGAGAGAGAUGAGUUGUGUGUUGGGGAGGGAUUUGGUUUCUCAAUAUAACUAACUAACUAACUAACUGGUUCGUGUGGGAAAUAAUACUGGACCCUGUUUAUAGACCGGUAAAAUUUUAUUUUGCUUAUUUAUUUAUUUUACAGUAAAAAUAUGUUGUUAAAUAGAAUGAUAAAAUAAUAUGAUUUACAAAUCUAAAUAUAGUAAAGUGCUGAAUUUUGACUUUACUAUUUUAUAGUUAAAAAUAGUUUAUUAAUUAUAAAAUAGUAGAAUAGUAUUUUGAAGCCACAAAGUUAAAAAAAAUAUAUGAAAGGAUGAUUAAUCACAAUUGGGUUACUUAAAGGUUUUUUUUAUUUUCUUUUUUUACAUACUAAAACUACGUACUGUAUCUCGUUAUCCACGCAUGUGUUUUGUUGUGGUCUAUAAACCAGGUGCAGGUAUAAUUUCUCAUGUUCUGAGACACUUGGAUCUUAAUUGGAUUUGCUUCGGUUGGUGUAUUAGGUGGUAGUUAUAGAGGAGGUUAUGGGAUUCAAAUUAACUAGUGGUUAACAAAAUUGGUUUUUUUUUUUUGUGGCUUUACGUAAUCUACGGUGGAAAAAUUCCCGCUUAUUUUCUAAAUAAGAAAAAAACAUAUUAGAACGAAAAAUGAGAAUAUAUAUAUAUAUAUAUAUAUAUAUAUAUAUAUAUAUAUAGAGAGAGAGAGAGAGAGAGAGAGAGAGUCCGGCUAUUAUACUCUUAUGAGUACGAUCGUCUUUGUACUCAUAAGUCGUUUUCGAUGAUAGAGCUUCCGUAUCGACGAUCCAUACCGUUAAAUAUUUUCUAGAGCAUUUAAAACUUUUAGAAAUCAAAUUUCAUAAUUUUUAGACAUCAUUUACCUUACGAUCAAAAGCUCACAAAAUUGACAAUUUUUAACAGCCGGUAUGAAAUACUUACUAGUUUAACGGUGCAAAAGAAUCGGAAUAGGUUGAAUUUUUUAUAGAAAAUUCUAUUCACUACCUAGAUAAAGAUCAAUAACUCUGAUUUUAAAUUGAAGGAUCCGAUCAUCCAUUUUUAAGAUGUCGUUCGAUUUUAAUCAUUCAUUUUAUGCCCGCUUGAUGGACAUUAUUAUCAUUUUGAAAAAUUACGAAAUUCAUUUUUUAGAAGUUUCAAAUACUCUAGAUCAUAUUUAACAGAUUGGAUCGUCGAUUCGGAAGCUCCAUCAUCGAAAACAACUUAUGAGUACGAAGAGCCCAAUACUCAUAAGAAUAUAGUAGCUGUACUCUCUAUAUAUAUAGAACUAGACUGGAAUACUAUUAAUAGCACCAAUGACUUUGUGCUAUUAAGUUUUCUGCUCUUGGAUUAAAAAAUGUACGGUUAGGAUGAUGUGGGCCCCCUAGGGUUGAGUGGGUAGUUUAGUUGAAUAGUAUAAUCAAAUGGAUGAAAUGAUAAAAGAGGUAAAUCUAAUGACAGAAAACUAGAUAGCACAAAAUGCUUCGUGCUAUUGAUAAUAUCUCAGCCGGACUCUCUCUCUCUCUCUCUCUCUCUCUCUUUCUAUAUAUAUAUAUAUAUAUAUAAAAUUGAGCUAGAAUACUUUUAGAAGCACCAACCCCUUGGUGCUUCUAAGUUUCUAGCCCUUGGACCUACUCCUUAAUUACUAAUACCCUUUGGAUCAAAUACUAUUUCACCUACCACCACCCACCACCAUGCAUCAUCUCAACCCUACAAUCAAGUUUUCUGCCGUUAGAUUUACCUCUUUUAUCAUUUUCAUCCGUUCGAUUAUACUAUUCAACCAACCACCCACUCAACCCUAGAAGGCCCACAUCAUUCUAACCGCACAUCUUUUAAUUUAAGGGCAGAAAAUUUAAUUGCGCUAAUUGUCAUUGGUGCUAUUAAUAGUAUUCCAGUCUAGUUCAUAUAUAUAUAUAUAUAUAUAUAUAUAUAUAGUCCGGCUGGGUACUAUCGAUAGCACCAAGGAUUUGAUGCUAUUGAGUUUUUUAUCGUUAAAUUUAACUCUUUGAUUAUUUUUACCCGUUAGAUUACACUAUUUAACCAACCACUCACUCAACUCUAGGAGGCCCACAGCAUUCUAACCACUCAUUUCUCAAUCCAAUAACUAAAAAAUCAAUAGCUCCAAUAGUUUUGUGCUAUUGAUAGUAUACCAGCCUAGUUUUAUAUAUAUAUAUAUAUAUAUACAUAUAUANUAAGAAAUUAAUAAUAUAUAUAUAUAUAUAUAUAUAUAUAUAUUUGCUUUUAAAAACAAAGUAAUUAAAUACUUUCCCUGUUUUGUUCAUUUUCGAAUUUGAAAUUUGAAUUGGACGUUUGCUUCGUUUUGUGCCAUUUUAUAAUUUGUGGGUAAUAAAAUGCCUCUUUUAUUCAAAUCAAGCACUAGUUACUAGCAACGUGGUUUCCUCUUCUCCUUUUUCUCUCCUGUUUCCCUCUCUCUCUCUCGUGAUUCUCGAUCUAGGGUUAGGGUUUCUUCGCUACCGACAUGGCUACUACUGCGCCCACCAAGGUAAGUGCCCCCACCCCUACCAUUCCUCUCUCUCUCUCCUCCAAAUCCCCAUCAUCGGAUCGCUGAAUCCGCUUGAAACCCUAAUGGCUCCGCGAUUUCUCUUCAUUACCCCGCAAUAUUUGGGCGAUCUCCGUGUUUCUUACUUAGUUUCUUCUCUAGCAACUAAAUGUAGGAAAACUAGAAGCUUAAUUUUGCGAUCGUAGUGUUAUAGAGUCACAAUCUCGGAUAAUGUUCGAUUCCCCUAAUUUCUUAUGCUUGUAGUAAUUCUAUUGCUGUAUAUGUUGUUGCUCUGAGACUGGAGAGUUUGAAUCGUGUUAUUGACAAAGUUGCGAAUCAGUUUACAGAUAACUUUUCAUGAGUGAUAUUCUUUACACUUUGUGCUUGAACAUGAGGUUUGUAGUUAGAAUCUUAAAAUGUCUUGAUGCUAGAAUCUACGGGAUGAAUUGUCAUAGCUUGCUUUUCCGUGUGUAAUCACUUUUUGCUGUAGGAGUUGUGGGAACACACUUAGUAUGAGUGAUUUUGUUUACCACAUUCUUACCUUCUAACUUAGUUUCUUCCAUCUUAGUGAAGAAAAUAAGCUAUAAUAAUGGAGGAGAUUUUUGACAUUCUUUUACCAAGUGGGAAGCUAUGAUGGAGUCGAUGAGAAGUGUAUAAAAAUGUCCAACUGAGUCAAUAUCUUCCUUUUAUAUCUGUGCCACAGUGAGAUGAAUCAAUUACAUGUUACAAUUAUUUGUGUUGGAAUAUUGAAAUUACUGUGUUUGUUUCAUUUCGUUCUCAUCUUCCUGUAAUAUUAUAUAUAUAUAUUGUUUCUUCUUGGAUUCCUUCAUGAUCCAUAUCAGGAUCCUUUGUUUUUCAGGUGAUUAAAUAAGCAAUCAACAACCUCCAGCUAUUCUUGAUCACGGAAGAAAACCCCUGCAUUGUGUUUUGUUAAUUCUUUCUGUAGCUUGCUAUGCCAUUACAAAUUAUACAACAUCUUUAGAGUGAAUCUGUAUAAAGAAGAAUCCAAUUUUGGUGUGCGGAAAUAUAACAGCAUUACUUUCCAGCUGGGUACCAACAUACUUAUAACCGUCUAAUCUGGUGCAUGGUUUAUAUAAAGAUUAUAAAGCUUGCAUACUCAGUCUACAGUUUCUCUGCUCUGUUAGCUGCUACAACUAUAAAUGUAACUAUUGUUUUUGUCAUUUUUGAGUGAUCAUAAACAGCCUCAUCCUGCGAUGAUUGCACUUGAAUGUUAUUGCUUUAUUAUUGAUACCUCGAGACAGAUAUGUUGCUACAAGUAAUUCACCUAAUUUUAACUUUUCAUCAUAUCUGUACAUUCACGAAGAACUUCAUCUCACUUGGUGUUUAUGGGCCUCAGAUCGCAACUUCUUCCUUUUCCUGUUCAUCUUUGUUUGUUUGUCUAAUAUGUUUACCAAUGUCAGGCUGAACAAGAAUCAGAAGGUUCGAAUCAGAGCCCUGCUGACAUGACAGUAUUUGUGAGUUACCUCAUACCCUAUUUUCUGAUGUUUUAUUUACAAGUUACAACUGGCAAUAUAUGAAGAAAAAACUAGAAUUUUCUUUCCAAAGUUUGAUCAUUAAUUUGAAAAUUCACUGAAGCAGUACUAAUCUAAUCUGGAAACUAUUCAAGGUUUUCUGAAGUGCACUAUCAAUGACAAACAAUGACAAACAAUGAAACUGUAAUCACUUGUUAUGUCAUACAUCUAAUGUUGUAUUUUUCUGCUGAGAAUAAAUAUCAAUUUAUCGAUCUUCUCUUUGCAAUUUCAGGUUCAAAAUCUUCUUGUGCAGAUGGUGAGUUUAUAGUUCUAUUAAGCAAGAUUCAACUUUGAUCGCCCGUAUCAUUAUCCUUUCAUUUUAGUAAAAUAAUUCUUUUGCAGCAAACAAGGUUCCAGGCCAUGUCGGAGAGCAUUGUCUCAAAAAAUAUCCUUUCCACUAGUUUUUCUCAGACUUCUGCAGAUAGUAUUCAUCCCAUUGCUAUAUUUGUGUAGUACUGCAUGAUACUUCAUAAAGUAUCCAAAGUUUUCCAACUUGGACUUGAGCAUGAAUACUGACAAACUAAAAUGUUACUAAGCGACUAACUGUGCUAAAUGAUAUUGUUUUUUCGAAUUGACUGUAUGAUUUAGACUAAAAUGCUCUUCAGUAUACCGCCUUAAGUGUUUUUAUUUAUUUUUCUCACUCUUUGAUAAUAAUCUAGUUUUAUGGCUAUUUAAUGCACCCAAGCAUGUUUAUUUGUAAGUUCCUCUAUUUGUGGUGCUCUUAGCAGUAUUUGUUAGUUUUGCCUGCAGAAUCAUUUUUGUAUUUUUCUUAUUUUCUGAGAUGCGGACACCAUUUCGUAUUUUUGUACCCCGACCUGGAUGUUGUCUUUCUUAACUACACUUCACUAGAUGAGAUGGGUACGAAGAUUGACGAAUUGGAACAGAGCAUCAAUGACCUGAAAGCCGAGAUGGGCAUGGAAUGCCCUCCUGCGAAGCCGACGCCUGAAGAAGCCAACCCUGCUAACGAUUCUGCCUAAGUUUAAUUGUUAGCUGGUCUAUGCUGAGGUGAAUGUCGCGACAGCUCCUAUUAUUUGCUCUGCUAAAGAUUCACUGCUUGAUCCUAGCGCUUCUAGGAUCAAAAUUAGUUCUUAUCAAUGUUUGUGAUGGUUUUUUCUCCCCCUUUGUUUUAGUGGCACCUCUCAGAAGGUAAUGACCCCGGAACUUGGGAGGUUUGUAGUUUCGGAUUCGAAUUUCUCACUGUUGUAUUUGUUCCUGUAGACUUUGAGACUUUUUGACAUGUUACAAACCUAAUGAGUGUGGCCUACAUUAUCUGCACCGCUUCCAAAGAAAAGAAAAAAUUACUGUAAGUCUUAAAAUAUCAGGUAAAAUUAUGUUGCUGAAUAGAUUUGAACGGUUGAAAUGCUCUGCUUUUGGUAGUGUUUGGUAGGGGGAAAACUCUGGCCUUGUCGUUUCGUUUUGAACGUUUGACAAACCCUUUUUUAUUUGCAUCAGCUGAAUUAGACUUUAAGAAAAAAAAGGGGUUAAAAGAAUAUUCUGUUUAAAUACCUUCUAUAGUUUUAUUUCCUGUCCAAAAAAAAAAAAAAAAAAAAAAAAAAAAAAAAAAAAUGAAGCACAAUCCCCGCACUAAACGGAACUUUCACUCGCCCACAUGCUCACACGUGCCGCGUCCUUAUUCUUCUUGACUCCACCAACCCAGCCAACCUCCCCUUUCGCUCCACCAACCACUCCCAUACAGCGGGACAAGAAGAAAUUGGUUCCUCAUCGUGUCUACCACCACGUCAUCCCUGAACCUAACCAAACAAAAUUCACGACAACUCACCAAACAGCUGUCUUGGCCAAUAGGAAGCUAGAACCAUUUCCGGUCUAUUAGGCCGGGUUCAGGCAAAGAAGCUCCCCGAGGGAGCUGGGAGAGCCCGAAAACCGUGCAUGCACCGGGCCUAUACACCAAAAUCUCCAAAACGAAGGUCCUCUUUGGGAUUUGCGGGGAGUGAGCUUUGCGUGUAUGAUUAAAAGAAUAGCCUGAUCUACUGAUUCAAAUUAAUAACAAUGUUUAAACCAAUCUAAAGUUCUUAUAAUUUUUUAAAAUUUGUAUAUUUGAGUUUUGAGACAGGAUUUAUACGCCGGGUGCAUGCGAUAAUUUCUCGACCAAAAGGCGGCCCAUUCGUCUCUGCUCUCGUCGCCCAUUGACGGACCUCUCGAGGUCACAACUCACACAGCCUCCCUCUUCCGCCCUCCUAUAAAUCAAAGCUCUCUUUCUCUCUCUCGAUCUCGCGAUCGCGAUCAUCUCUCUCCCCCUCCAAUGGCGCUCUCUCAAUCCAAUCUCCUCCCAAACCCCUUCCUCUCCUCCAAACCCCGAUGCCGAACCCCCUUCGCAUCGUCUCCCUCGUCCCUCCCAUCUCUCUCGCGCCCUAGACACGUCCCCGCCGCGAUUCGGAGCUCCCUCGCCUCCGCCGCGGCGCCCUCGGCGGCCGCCGUGGCCGUGAAGGAGUUCGCCGUCAAGUCCGUGAAGGCGCGGCAGAUCAUCGACAGCCGCGGGAACCCCACGGUCGAGGUCGACCUCGUCACCGACCAGCUCUACCGCUCCGCCGUCCCCAGCGGGGCCUCGACGGGGAUCUACGAGGCCCUCGAGCUUAGAGACGGCGACAAGAAGGUGUACGGCGGGAAAGGGGUGCUCAAUGCUGUGAGGAACAUCAACGAGGUUUUGGCCCCCAGGCUCAUCGGCGUCGAUGUUAGGUUAGUCGACGACGUAUACAUCUUCUACGAGAUCGGUGACUAUUCUCAUUUCUAUUGGUGCUGAAUCAAGCUUUUACGUGCCAAGUUUGUGCGAUCAUCUCAUCUGAAUCAUAUUUGAUCUCUGUAAUUUAAGCUCUGAUCUACUUCAAUUAUUAUGUAUUUUGGUGUUUAUUUACUGCUUAAGAUGACCUAUAAAAGCCAAUUAGUAUUUGAUGACUACGUGCUAGGAUUAAUGAUUACUGCGAUCGUCGUUAAACUGAAGACGGACACGUAAGUUUUCACUUCUUAGAUCAAUGAGAAAGUUACGUGAACUUUAGAGUUGUAUCAUUCCACGACCCCAGCUGAAUUGAGUUGUCUGAGUUAGUAUUGUUGAGUCCUGUUGUUUCUGGUAGAACAAUACAAGUUAUAUUUUGGUGGUUCAAAUUUAGAGCGGGCAAAUUGAUGAGUUACUACAAACUGUAGGUCGUAUUUCGGGAAAAAUCAACUAUAUCUUGAUUGAUAUCGACGGGAUUUUUGACAACUCGAUCAGAAUCCAAGGAGGAUUAAUGGCCAAAUGGAAAAUACAUGUAUUGUGGUGGUAUCUGACUCAUUCAUUAUCCUUGCAGGAACCAGGCUGAAGUUGAUUCGAUCAUGCUAGAUAUUGAUGGAACUCCAAACAAAUCAAAACUGGGUGCUAACGCAAUCCUUGGAGUUUCUCUAAGUUUAUGCAGAGCUGGUGCGGGGGCCAAAGGAGUUCCUCUCUAUAAGCAUAUACAGGAUAUAGCUGGUGUGAAGGAACUCGUCAUGCCCGUUCCUGCUUUUAACGUGAUAAAUGGGGGUAGCCAUGCUGGCAACAAUCUGGCAAUGCAAGAGUUCAUGAUAUUGCCAGUAGGCGCAACUUCUUUUGCCGAGGCUCUUCGUAUGGGCUGUGAGGGUAAUCAAGCUUCUUCUUUCAUCCAUAUUCACAUAAAAUCUUCAUUAUCUGCGAGUUCAUUAACCGGGGAGCAGUGUCUUCAGCCAUAUAAGCAAAAUUUUCCACUUCCUACUCAGAAAAGCCUGUGAAUGUUGAAAUCUCCUUUCCUCAUCAUUCUGUUAUCAGUUCUGUUUGUGAACUAGAUUGAUACAAGUAAUCUGUUUGAUGUGACAGUUUACCAUAUCCUCAAGGGCAUUAUUAAGGCUAAAUACGGGCAAGAUGCAUGCAAUGUUGGAGAUGAAGGUGGCUUUGCUCCCAAUGUUCAGGACAACAGAGAGGGUCUUGUCUUGCUUAUAGAUGCUAUUGAAAGGGCUGGUUACACUGGAAAGGUGUUGUGAAUAAAAAAAUUGUCAAUAUACUGUAUUCUUUUAUCUUCUUCUCGAUACUUAGUUGGCUUGACUAUACUGCUGAUCACAGAUUAAAAUAGGAAUGGAUGUUGCUGCUUCAGAGUUCUUCACAAAGGAUGGGAGAUACGAUCUGAAUUUCAAGAAGCAGCCGAAUGAUGGAGCUCAUGUUCUCACUGCUCAGAGCCUCUGCGAACUGUAUAAGGAGUUUGUCAGAGACUUCCCUAUCGUGUCCAUCGAGGACCCUUUUGACCAAGAUGAUUGGAGUUCGUGGGCGUCACUUCAGUCUUCUGUUGAUAUCCAACUUGUCGGCGAUGAUUUGUUGGUCACCAAUCCCAAAAGAAUAGCCGAGGCAAUUGGGAAGAAGGCUUGUAAUGCUCUGCUUCUAAAAGUAAGUCCGCUACAUCAUCAUCAAAUGAUAACAUGAGUGUGCUAUUUUUUCAAUAGUUUAAGAACUUGACAUCAUACUUUCUGUUCAGAUAAACAGCAUCUGCUAUAAACAACCUAUGUUUCUUGCUGGAUUAUUUCCCUUGUAAUUUCCUUCUACUUUGUUCUUUAUUUUUUUUCUCUCUCUCCCAAAUUUGCAAAGAACAAUCCUGCUAGAUUUGCACGCAUUGCAGUCAGGAUUUAAAGGUCUGACACUAGGCUUCUGUGGGAGGUUAUUUUCAACAAAGUUAGCAUACGUGGCUAUGUGUUAUAUCAAACUUUAGAAAGAUGGAGAAUUGCUGUAAUAGAACUUUCCAAACAAUUUCACUCUGUUUUCUUGUUCUCUUGCAGCAAUUGUAAUUGAUUGUAGCCUUUUGAAUUUUAUACUUGUAAUUGCUGCUCACUUUUAAGUUGUAUGACAUGUAAUAAUCAGGAAUAAGCUACAUCCAUAAUAGUUUUUCCGACAACUGUAUUUCCUAAUGCACCAAUGAUAAGCUUUCUUUUCUUGAAUAUAUAUAUAUAUAUAUAUUAAGUGCCCAAAUUUGCUAUGGUUUAUAGGUUAACCAGAUUGGCACUGUCACUGAAUCCAUCAAAGCAGCUCUUGACUCAAAAGCUGCUGGCUGGGGAGUGAUGGUCAGCCACCGUAGUGGUGAGACAGAAGAUAAUUUCAUCGCUGAUCUUGCUGUUGGCUUGGCAAGUGGACAGGCAUGAGCUCUAUUACCAUCUGAUCACAAUUGUUCCUUCGUAUAUCUUAUUUUUGUUGCAUCUUUUAUAUAUCAUAGCUGAACUCUUUCUUCUCUUCAGAUUAAAACUGGAGCUCCCUGCCGUAGUGAGCGGUUGGCCAAGUAUAAUCAGGUAAAAGAUAUUCUUUUAUCUCCUCUCUCAUUAUCUCCUGGCAAUAGAUAAAAUUAUUUUGAGAGAUAUUUGGCCUCUCUGUUUGUGCUAUAUAUAAUUGCCUCAUUCAUUUAUAGCACCCAUGCUUCCUUCUUCAAUCAAUAUGGUGUGUGUGUGUGUAUACAUGUAAUUUUCUUUUUGUCCUUAACGGUUGUAUGUGGAUCUUUAAUUUUAGUUACUUCCUUGACCGAUAUAUUGUCAGACAUGAAGGAAAUAAGAAACAUAACUUCAGUUUCAGCAGUACUUCUAAUUUGUAGAAAUGCUGAUAUUUAGGAUUUCUUGGACUAAUCUGCUUAAACACUUAUCUUUUCUAAUCGCUUUUAUGAUGUUGUAACCUUUGCCCAGCUUUUGCGGAUCGAAGAGGAGCUUGGAAAUGUGCGCUAUGCUGGGGAAGCAUUCAGAUCUCCGUGAAAAGACCAAUGAUAGGCAGAUUACAUCUUGAAGAAAAAUAAGGUACUAAAUCAAAAUGAUCCAAAAUGGAGUUUUAUGUACCACGGAAAUGACAAUUUUGUAGAUCUCUUCUUUUUUUUUUUUCUGAGAUGAACUUUAGUAUGUGCAUCUGUUGCUCUGAGUAUUCAAAAACCCUUUUCUUCAGGGGUCUGGUGGAGGGACCCAGGACUUUGUACUAUUUCUGAUACUUCAUUACGAUUGCAAGGAGUGAAGUUUGGAUAGUAUUAUAUGCUAUAUGCUAUAUUCUCAUUUCAUUGUGGUAUUUCUGCAGCUUCUUCCAUGAGCGAGUGAUAGGGAAAUGGAAACUACAGAACGCAGCUUUGAAUUGCAGUGCAGUUUUGUUGCUCUUUGCUUCCUUUGUAUGUCCAAGCAUACUAACUAGGAAUCUAUCAUGUAUGUUAGGAACAACCAAGUAAAAAGCACCAUAUUUCCCUCGGAUUUUUCGGAGUCAUUUUUAACUUAUAUUGUGUCAAUUACGUGUUGUUCCAGGCAUGUAAAUGCCAAAAAUUAGACUGAAGGAACGUUUUAAUAUUUCCAAAAUGCUGAGAUUCAAGCAGAAGAUUUUAGAAGCAAAAAAUAGAUGCUAGGAAAUUUAAAUAAGGUAUUAAACUGAUUACUCUAUAUCCUUCGGUGGCUUUUGUUUCCGCUCUCUUUACAUACCCUUCUCGUAGCAUAAUAUUAGAUUCGAGGAAGUUUUAUAAUAAGUGGAAUAUUUAGCUCAUACGGGUCUCCGACCUGAAUGAGGCAUACACAGUGAAGAUCGUUUACGCAUCAUCCAUUAAAGCUCACCUACAAUAAAAUGUCAUUUGAUUUUUGGUUUAAAAAAGCUGAGGAAAGAGUAUAAGUCAACAGAUCAUGCAACAAAAGGCAGGGAUAAAAGAACAUGAUGUUUCAGCUGCUGCAAAUGAAUUACUCGCACAGAGACAAGUAUAUAACUACAGCUCACAGUAUUGAACUGAGCAACCAUAUGAUUAAAUCUGGGGCAAAAAAAAAAUCAUAACCUUAAUCGGGAUUUCAAUAGCCGCAAUGUCAUAAACUUCUUGCAAGCAUUCCUGUAAGGCCGUGCCCAGAAAAGAUGUAGUAUUACCAACCGCAUAAGCUGCCCUAUUUUUACCCUACAGCUAGAGGUUGUUGAGAGUAAUUCUUUUACCUAUGACGAUUCGCAACAAGUCAAGACAAUGGGCAAACGCAUUCCGCUAUCAACUUACUCCCCAGGGAAAAAUUUAAAGAUUAAGAUUAGUGAAUAAUUAAUUAAUAAGGGCGGAACUUCCUGGCAGCUCUCAAUUGCUGAAUGCGUUUCUUAUCCUGCUCAAAUUUGCUCCGUAACAUCAUCACCUCUGCAACAGAAAAAUCACAAUUUGGAAUUAGCUUACGACCGAUUGAGUUUAACCGAAUAGAUAAAACAAAAGAGAAAAAUUAGCAGUAAGGUCACAAUAAUGAUUCUCUAAUUACAAUAUGGUCUAGUAUCAAUUAUUGAGAUCUUUGGCAGUAAGCUUCAUACUGGUAGUAAAUACCAGGUUCAACGAACAGGCACUUCUCAUCCAAGUAUCUUAUUACUACAAGAAUUUACUAUCAAAUCACUAUAUUUCAUACUUACAUUGAUUUUGACAAGGUAAGUCCAUCAAAUUCAACCAUACACUUUUUUCUCUUUCAGAAUUUUAAGUUCGGAUCUUGUCUGUGCCAUUAAAUUUGUCACAUUAAGUGGUUCUGAAGCCAUCAUUGCCAGCUAAUUUCCCUAAAUAUCUCAUUCACAUUCUUUUUUUGUAUACUUGAUAGAUAUGUUUGCGUGAAAUGUAAUACCAACAACCAAGAUCCAAACAGGAAAAAGUAAACUCCAAUCAUAACAAGUAUUCUCAUCUACCAAUCCAUCAAAAUAAGUGACAAUACCAGCUAUUCAUUACAUAGAUACCCAAUGCCAUUUCUAUAUGGUACAGUAUUCUAUGAAACUUUUAACCACCUAUUUUAUAACCAGCUAUUCAUUACUAAAAAAACGCAAAAAAUCACUGGUAACAAGAACAAACAAAACAACUAGGGCACAAAUCAAAUAACCAAAAUAAUUGUUAAUUUUCAAUAUCUUUCCACUGAAGUUCAACUUACCAUUCCGCUGAGCUUCCCGCUUCUGGAAUCUGUAGAAAUCUAGGGCGACUUCCUUGCUUUUCUUUUUCUCUAUUUUGUCCACGACAGCAGCUUGGGCGACAGAGCCCACAGUUACACCACUUUCUGCAUCCGUUGUUUUCUUCCUCCCUUUAUGAUGCACCACCACAGUCCAACCUCCCUCUGCAGCACGUGCUUCUUUUUCCCUCCUUUCCUGUAUUUACCAAUUAUAAGAGAGAACACAUAUUUAAGACAACCUUUAAAUGACAUCACAGCGUAAAGCUACAUAUACAAUUUUAUUUCACACGCGUAUGAAAUCAAAACUGUUGAGUAACAGAAAUUUUAGGAAAGAGAUUCCUAGACCUUGGAUUUUCCGAGCAGUCUCAUAGAAAUACACAAGUGUAUUAAUAGUGUACUUCUAUCAUUUUCUAAUUCCAAGUUAUACAAGAAAAUAGAGUGUGAGGCAGUUGAAGAACGCAAGACACGUACCUGUUCUUGUUGCUCCUCGUAAGUAGUUAUAAAAUCAUCUAUUCUUUGCUGCAAUUCUUUUAAUCCCGGUCUAUUUUGCUUAUAUUCAAUGAGCCAUUCUGUUAAAAUUAUGUAGAUCAGCUUCGUUCCAUGAUAUGCAUAGAUAAACCCAGGAUAAGAAUACAUUGUUCUGAAAGGAGGAAAAUUUAGUAUACAGCAACUAGUAACAUGUUUUAAACAAAUUGGGAUGGAUUAAAUGUAAAAUGGAUUCAAUCAAGACAUAAAAAGUCAAUAGCAUACUAAGAUCGAACAAAAUAAAUGGCAAAAGGUAGUAGAGUUUUAAGUGCACGAAAUCUUGACUCUAGCAUGAUAUGCAUAUAUAAGUGCAUGAGUCAUUUCACAUAACAAAUUAGAAGUGUAGGUGAAGUGUAUGCCCUAUUUUACAACAAGAACCAUAGAACUAUUAAUUAGGCAUGUACAAGUUUUGAAUUAAUUCCUGCUUGCAAUUUAACCUGUGUAUAAUAAGGAAAGAAGUUGAAAAUUGAAAGUCUCGGCUUUUGUUAAAUUGUAAACAGAUGAUAGAAAGAGGAUGACGUCACACAAGUAGCAACAUAGUGGAGAACUUGAUCAACUGUAUAAUUAUUAGAAAGGGGGUUCAAUACUUUUCAUUCCUCUUGAACAAUCUUCAUCAACUGCUGAGAUCUGAUCGACUUUUUCACUGUCUACGUCACCAAGACUUUUGACGAACUUGUUCUCCUUGCUGACAUGUUGAUCCUUCUUACGUUUUCCUACCUUUUUAAGCUUCUCUGUUAGUGAUACAGAAGGGGGGGAAAACAGUUUGAGUAUCUUUCUAUAUUUAAGUGACAUUUGAGCACAAAAGAAUUUGAAGAACGGAAACAUAAAGAUUAGAUACUCACUAAUUUUUCUUUUCACUCCAAUAUUUGCUUCCACAGGCUCAUUAGAACCACAAACCUUGUUCGACAAUUCAAGCUGGCUGAGAUCUCCAGCAUUAUUGUUUACAUUGUCAUCUACAACACAAUGAGAAAAGAGAGUUAUGUUCAAAAUGCGCAGCAGCCAGAUCUGGGAAGCAUAAUAUGGAGGAAGGUUGAAAAAAUGUAAAAUCUUUUUUUGCUUUACAAGCACAGUACUUUGCUGAAGUAAUAUACAGAAAAUCAGGUCAACAAAAAACUGAUAAUAUCAGGAAGAAGAAAAUAGUACAACUAAUGAUAAUCAAAGAGAAGGUUAUCAAUAUUCUAAUCAAGUCGGAUUUUAAAGAAUAAUUAUCAGUUAUUUAGGAGACAAGCAUGUAACAUUAUAAUCCUAGCACAAAAACUGAGUGAUCGUUUGCAACUAGGAAUUUUUCUGAAAGCAAACAAAUUCACUAUAUCCAAGAAUGAAAAGUAAGUAGCAUACAUAAUGAAUAUAACUUCACACCUGUUAAGAUUGCUUUGGUUUCAUUUCCAGUAGGGAUCCUAUCAGCAUCCGCAGCGUCUACAUAACUCUUCUCUUUUACUUUCCUCUUUUUGAACUUACUUAAUACCUUUUUCCUGCUUUUUCCCACUGCUCGGUCAUUCUUAUCUAACAGCAAAAUGAAGAAAAGCAAGAGUAAGAAUCUAUGCUACAAAAUAAAAGUCUAAAACUAUAAUCACCUACAUAAUCAAGAAAAUAUCUCUACAAGUAUGUUUAUAAAGCGAAUCGAUAAAGCAGCACAACGACAAAGUUGGAAGUGAUUAACCACAUUCUGCAAUUUUCUAUUAAAACACCUGAUAGCUGCUUCUUAUGAACACUCUAUCAGUUCAACAACUGUAGGAGAACUAAUUAAUCUUCAUUCAGAAAAUUCAUUCACAAUUAUAUUUCCAAAACACAUCAAAAGAAAGCUCAUACGAGCUGACCAAGUAAUCAACAAACCCUAGAAUUCAUAGAAUUGAUGGAAUCAAACUAAUUAACCAAGAACGGCGAAAUAAAGCUAAUGGAAAGCAUUAACCCUAGAAAUCGAGCUAUGCAGGAAAUCGACUUCUUUUUGAUGAAUUAUCAAUAUCGCACCUUUCAAUGCCCCGUUUUUGAGCUCUUUUUCAGGAGAAACACCAAUUCCUAUACUUGUUUCAUCGAGAUUUCUCCUCUUUUUUAGUUCCUUCGAUUUCACUUUAAGCAGCGCCUUUUUAUCCCUUUUUUCUCCUCGUCCAAUUUUCUUAUCUAAAAAAACCAAUUCUCAAGAACAAAAAUCCCCUCAAAAACCAAAAAUUCUACGCAAGAAAUAUGUAUUCUUCAUAAUCAUUCGCAUCAAAGAGAAGCUAAAUAGCAAUUAAAUCACAAACCUUUUCCCAUCGAAUGAGAUCGAAGCCUUUGUUGAUUACAAGCGCGCUAGGUUCGAUCGAACUUUCAAAGACGACCUACAAUAACAUCGAGAUAGCGCGUUGAUUAAACUUAGGACGACUCCCCGCUGGGGAUGGGGAUUUGGGGAUUUUCCGCCACCGAGCGUGGGGCUUUUACUCUUUUAGUGGACAGUGGGCACCUCAAAACCCUAGACGUUCGAAAGACGAAUACGGAGAAGGAGAGGUCGCGUUGUGGGGCCCACUCUCUUGGGCCCAAACUCGGCUGAUGCGUGACCCGUUAGGGGGCGCGCCCGAACCAAGUAGAAGUUGCGGGCCCCAACGCACCACGCUUCGCCCGUUCUCUAUUGCCGAGUGGGCCUAUAUAAAAUGGACUUGGGCCGAACUAUGUUUUUCCUCGGCCCAACUUCUAGUUUGUGGGUUGCGAGAGAUUAAAAUUCAUCAAUUAUUUUAUCAAUUUAACCGAACAAAUUUAAUUCAUAACAUUUGAAAUUAAUAAAAAUUUUAAAAAUAAAAAUGAAGCUGGACGUUGGCUUACUUGGAAGCAAAGCAAAUAAUCCGAUUAACUUAACCACUAUUCCAAUAAAUUUUUUUCAUGGUCACAAUUUAUGAACGGUUUAGAUAAAUUCAUAGUGGCAAUACAACAAAAUUCUCAAAAUAUCCUCAAAUCUAAAAUAUCAAAAUAUUGAGAUUGCUGCUUGACAGAAUAAAUUAUAGCUGACUUACCCCUCAAACUGACAAUUGUUAUAGCAUUAGAUAAAAAACACACAGAACUUUAAAAUACAUUACAGCAGAAGUUUCAGUGCUUUUGGUCUGUGAAACAAAUGGCUUAAAAUAACACAUUUGCUAUGCUCUUCUGAGUAGCUUUAUGCCGGAAACAAUAGCAUCAUCUGCAUUACAUCUUCCCACCACAACCCUGUGAAGCAAGUUCCAGUGUAAGAUGGAGCUCCAUACAGGGAUCAUUGAUAGUUCGCUGGAUCUGCCAUUGAGAGGUGGGCGGUAAUAAUAGAGAACUUGCAAUCUUUAACAUAAGGAGAAAUUCUAAGGGAGCCCAGUUCAACCUCCAGAAAUGCUGAUUCUCAUAGCUGAUUAGAUGAUUCGGACUAUUCCGUCCCUUAUCAUUAUUCUAUUAGAAUCCUGCAUUCUCUGUAGAAAAGUAAUAAACAUAUUCAGCAUUUCGUUUCCAGUAUUCCCAUGAGAGGUUUUAAAGUGCAUGUCUAAUCAAGAUUCCUCAACAAUUUAGCAUGGUUACUAUUUAGACCCCCAAAAUUUUAAAUCGACAAAGUACCUACCUAAUAGCCAUGUAAGUAAUGAGUGGGCGGUUCAAAUUAUGCAAUAUGGUUAAUGCAACAGAGUGCAAAUGCCAGGGACCAACUUGUAAAUGUUGAAAAACAUGGGUACCAAACUAAAACUGAGCUAAAAGGUUGAGGAACCCGAUUGAAAUUUGACACAGAAAGAAAAUGGUCAUAAGGAGAUUACCUCCAAGAUGGACUGAACUUGGCGUCUUGUAUAAGGUGCUGCAGCUUCUCUGUUAACCAAUUGCUCUAUCUCAGAAAUUGAUAUUUGAUCCAAGUGGUUAGCCAAAACAUGCUGACCCAAUAUGGACUCGAAAGUUUCAAUUCUGCAGAUUUAUAUAAUCAAAACAGGGUUACUAAAAGAGCAAGAAGUUCUAAGCUGAAAAUGUAAACUGAUGUUUCCAAUUUGAUCUGGAUAGGAACCUCUCUGCAGAUAAAUCCUCAUGAUCUGAAACAUGGUCCACAUCCACCUCCAUUGGGUCGCCUCCCGCGCUGAAGAAAAAGAUGGAAGAAUGUUAGCAAUUGCCUUUUCUUUCGCAUAGAAAUGAAAGAGAUUGCUAUUACUAUGAUAUUACGUCUGAUAGAUGACAGUGACAGCUGUAGAUAGUGCUAAGCAAGAUUUAUUGUUAUUAUUUUUUAGAGAGAAAGGUAGUAUAUUACCCACUUCGUUCAUUUUUAAAAAAUAAACUCAGUUGAAAAUGUGAAGCAAUGAGACUUCAAAUUUGAAACCUCAAGUACCAACUAUCAAGCCCUUAAUCAACUAUGCUAGAUACGGUCGGUACUGCUAAACAAGAUAGUUAGGAUGAGUAGAGUGCUUGAUUUGCUCCCAACCUAUUGACAUCGGACUUUGGAAGUUACACAGUAUACCUGUCUACAAUUUUGAAUGGUGUGGGUCAAACUUUUUCAGAGAUAAUAUGUAGAAUAACAUACGAGGCUUUCUUAAAAAGUCAGGAGUCAAAAAGCUGACAAUAAAAGCUAUUCCAGCUUUAAAAAUUCUUCUUUUUCUUUGAAGGGAACCAUUUGGCUCUUCCCAACCAAGAUUACUUAGUCAUGAGCAUAAAGAGAUUAAUUAUUGACUGAAAAUGACAGUAAAUAUAACCUAAUACCUUCCACCAGCAUUUCCACCACUCUCAUGAGCAUCAUGAUCUGCUUUCUGCUUCAGCUCCAACUCUCUUUGCUCACGCUCUUCCAUCUCAGUCAGCUCUUUGUGGUAUAUAGCAAAAUUUAGAACUUGCAGAGCAGCUUCUACAUCAGUCAUCAGAACCUGUAUUGAUGCAUGUAUUGCUUAAUGCAGUGUGCACAAAGGGGCAAAACUGUGAUUGAUAUAUUUGUUGAAAAGGUCUAGUGUUGGAAAACAUAAAGCUAAAUCCGUGAACUGUUAAGUUAUAUUUACAGAAGAGCUGAUUUAUACAACAUGAUUUCUUUUUCAAGUAAAGCUAGUUCAUAUCAAUAUGAUUUAGCAAAUAAACUGAGCAAUUCAAAUAACCGACAUAAAUCAUUAGCCCAUCUUCCUCAUAUGGGAAAAAAGUACCUCAUUUCUCAACUUCAUUUUGGCGUGAGCAGUGGAGAGGCGAAUGAUGGUCUCUAAGGUUCUUGCUGUAAUUGGUAGGGUGCCUCCUCCAGACUGAAGACAAAGAAGUAGUUUGAGAAAAUAUGGUCGCCAGUUUUAUUUCAGAUGAAAUUAACUAUUUAACAAAGCAUUUGAAGCACCAACCCUUGCAGUGGCACCAGCAUCCCUAAGUUCGGCAUAUGAAGUUGCAAUAUGAUCAGAUGCCUACAAAUGAGUAAAACAAUAGCAUGAAACCAACAUUUAAUUGAAAAACAGAAAAGAUUAAGAAAAACAUUUAAUAGUGGAAUAAGGCAGGACUUCUUUAUUUUCAUAAGCUACACAAACAAAUCAAGGGAAUGAAGUAAUUAUUACCUCAUCCGUGAGCUUCGGUUGAAUCCUAUUCUUGGCAUAAUGGAUGUACUUCUUCAAGAAUUUGAUGGUAAGCAUCUCAUGUUUAUCCUUCUUACCCCUUUUCCUUUUCUGCCCAUGAAGCACCCUAUCAUAUUUCACAAAAAUGGGUGCAUUGGCAUCACCGUCAUCUUCUUCCGUAUAUCUUGAAGUUUUAUCAAGGGACCCAAUUCCUAGAUUUUAAAGAUAGACAUAUAUAACAGGGUAAGGAAAGCAGAAACAACAAAAUGGAUUUCUUAUUUCCAGUAUGAAGUCAAAAACUGUUUAAAAAGAACUAUUACCCCUAUCAUCUGCACAAUAUCUAUGCAUACGAGAGACAUGCUCUGAAAUUUGCCGGUCAAUUUCAGGGUCCAUUUGAUCAAGAACAAUGAAAAGCAGAUCAAAACGGGAGAGUAACGAAUCUGGAAGUCCAAUGUUCUUUGUUGGCGUCAGUGAGCGAUCGUACUGUAAAUAAAAAGAUGACAAUAAGAUAAAGUGCUCUAAACAAAUUUUGACAAGGGAUACAAGAAACCAAGACAAAUUGUUAGACAAUCCAAUACAGUCCAGACGCAUCAGCAAUAAAACCUUACAGUUCCAUAAAUAGGGUUUGCAGCAGCAAUCACACUGCAUCUAGCAUUGAGUGAUGCAUGAAUUCCAGCCUUCGCAAUAGUUACAGUCUGCUGCUCCAUGACUUCAUGUAUGGCGACGCGAUCUAGAUCAUUCAUCUUAUCAAAUUCAUCAAUACAAACAACACCUCGAUCAGCAAGCACCAUCGCACCAGCUUCAAGCCUUCUUUCACCUACCAUAUGAUUUUGGUCAAGAAAUUCUGAUGGAAUUUAACCUGAAAUUACUGCGAUGGUCUAAAAUUUACCAGUCUCUUGGUCGGAAGUAACAGCAGCUGUUAAUCCAACACCAGAGGAACCUCGCCCGGUGGUUGAGAUAGCCAAUGGGGCAAUGUUCAUGACUGCUCUUAAGAGCUGGGAUUUGGCGACUGAAGGAUCGCCAACCAUCAUCAUGUUUAUAUCACUGUAAAAGAAGUGACAAGAAAUAAGACAAUAGAGAGAAGGAGAAUAGCUUGCUUCUACACAACAACACUAAUACGAGGAAUAGCAUGGGCAUGAUGUUAUGAAAGUCUGAAAGGCAAUCAUACCCUCUUAAGUGAGUUCCAUUCUUCAGAUUCUUUUCGACACCACCAAGCAUUAAUAGUAUCACCGCCUUUUUAAUCCACAGUUGGCCGUAUAUGGAAGGGGCAAGUGAAUUUCCUAGUAAAUCAAAUGUAUCGUUUCUCUUGGCUAUUUCUUUCAUUCUCUUUAGGUCUUCCAAAGAAUAAAUAGGUGCAUUCGCCUCCUUGUUUAGAAGAGAGACAUUAUUCGCUAUAAGAACAGUCCUACAGGCAUAACGGGUAUUUCCUUUAUGAGAAAAUAUUCAACUGUGACCAGUAAAGAUGGAUAUGCAAGUCUAGUGCCGGACUGCAUUUUGAUUUUGGCUUCUGAAACAGCUUGUCUAGCUCCGGAAAGGAGAAGCUUCCAAAAACCAUGCAUUUUCUCACAAAUAAUCAGAAGUAUUUGCUUUGGCAGAAAGCUAAAACAAACUUUUCAGCAUAAAAGUAGAAGCUCCAAUUUGAAGCCUCUACUCCUGCAAAAACUCCAGCCAAGCCAAACAAGCCCGAAGUCUUGUAUGUUAAUUAAACUAACCUGAAUACGCCAUUCACACUGCCCUUGGUUUUUCCAGGAAAAGCCUUAUAAAUCCCGACUAUUGAUAGACGGUCUCCAGGCUUACAAGAAUCCACCAGAUCAUCUUCUAUGAUAACAUCCACUGUUCUUGGAAGCUGGCCAGGUAAAGAAUUUUCGGGCACUUCUUGCAUCGAUAGCGUCUGGUGGUCCUUGUAUUUACAUAAUCCGUAUUCAGUCACCAACAAGUUCCCAUUGUCAUCCUGAAUAAAUUUAGAAAUUCGUUAUGUUGCGAAUGUCAACGACAAGGAUAUGAGUGUUUUCAUUGCUAUCUGGAAAUUAUAUUGGAAUAUUACCCUUGUUGGAUACACAGAGCCUGUUGGCAAGCCCACCAAAGACGUGAUAUCUCUAUACUCGCGAGAUGUGAAUUGCUCUGUUGUAGGGCAAUAGUGAACGCUUUUGACAACCUUUGGCCUUACAAGAGAGCCUUCAUUUAAGCACACAAUGAGGUCAAACAUAUAAUUCAGAACAUUAGCUCUCUACACGUAUCAGCUGGUUCAAUUCUUUGCAGCAGUCGGAUGUGAUGCAAAAGCACGCAAUAAAAAAAAAAUUGCAUUUUCUUGACAAACUACCAACUGUUUUGAGUAUUGAGAUAUCAAAAUGCAGGAAAACACAGGAAUUGGUACUAAGGAGAUUUAAGAGUGAGUACACUUAGUGACGAUUCCUUCAACGCAGACCAUGGAGCCGAUGAAGCUCGACAUGAGAUCCCUCGGAGUGACCUUGUGGAACCCAAAAGGACCACUAAAUCCCACGAGGACACGCUCCCCUUCCUUGAGGUACUUUGGAUCCAAAUUCCGUGUGACCUCGGUCAAAGCAUCAGAGAUCGGUUGCAUGUACUCCGCAGGAUUACGAAUCAACCUGGAAACACAAUUCAGUCAGCUUAAACAGGCAUGAAAAUCGAAGGUGAUAGGUGUGUACGGGUAGUAAAGUUAGGGUUUCGACCUUCGGGCGAGAUCGAGGCUGUAGUUGCGGAGGUCGUCGAUCCCGAUGAUGAGGCGGUGGCGCUUGUUCUGGAUCAUGUCCCUCAGGGAUUUCAUGUAGAAACCCUUGCCCACCUAAGAGAAAUCCACGAAAAAUUAGAGAAAAACCGAGAGAUUGAAAAUGAUUCAUAGGGAAUUGGGGGAGACGAAGCUUACAUCUUGAUCCAGGAAAUCCAAAAAUGCCCGCUUGUGAGCGGCCAUGGCCUCUUCGUUGAUCUCCAUCUCUAAUGGCGCACACAAAGAGAGAGAGAGAGAGAGAGAGAGAGAGAGAGAGAGAGGAGGUGGGGGGUGAAACCAAAAUGACGCGGGGGUGGGCGUGCGAUUGAGGAGUUAGGAGCGAGGGGCUCGUUUUGGCGGGAAUGGGCGAAGGCGGAGUUGUUUUGGCGGGAAAGCAUCGCAGACUGCGUGGAGUUGGGGCUCAGAAUAGAUCUCGACCGUCAAAUCCUAUCGGGCUCAAAAGCGGGUCGGAGUUAGAUGUAAUCCUGCAUUCUUAAUCUGGAAAAGUACCUGAGCUUGGUUCACCACGUCAUCCCUGAACAGCAGCGCUCCGUUUCAAACAUUUCUCAAACGUGGAGGUAUCUUGCUGGACGGUUCACAGAUGACGCAGUGAACCAAAUUCUACGUAGAGUAUCAUGAAAGGGGGGCGGUGCAUUUAGUUUCGAGGAUUCGGGCGCAUCUAAAUUUAGAUGCUCCAAAACCCAUUAAUAAACCGGUUAAAUUUUCUUUUCAGAGGCGGAUUUUGAGCCGCAAACCCGAAAACCGUUUAGGAGGACGAAACCCGAGUUCGAUCGACCUCGAAAGUCGAAACCCAUAAACCCUACGAGCGACGACUCCUUCCCACUCCCUUUGCUAAAACUCUAGCUCUCUCAGCGACGGCUAAAACCCUAAUCGCAUACCAUGGGAAGCGACAGCGAGACGGAGAAAUCGUUGAAGGAGAGGAAGAAGGUGAUCUCGCUGAUGCCCAUUGCGAAGCCCCUCGCGGGAAAGAAGCUCUGCAAGAGGACCCUUAAGCUCGUCAGAAGAGGUAAUCUUUUCGUGUUCAUGUAUGAUUUCCUUGUUUUCAAUGUCAAAGAUGCAUUUUUAUCUUUCCUUCGCUUUAAGCGAUGGAGAUUUCUGGGUAUGUCAAAUUCUUGUGCCGUUUCGGUGCAAAAAUUGUAUUUUGUGGUUACCUAAUGAAAUUGUUUAAUAUUGAUUGUGUUCACGGUUGUAAUCUAUUUGUGAUCUGCUUUUAGCUGCUUUUUUCGUGCAAUUUGUUGUAAUUUCCUUUCUUUUCGUUUAUCAUACAUUUGUAGAAUUGAUUUUGAAAGUUUAAGGUGUCGAUUUAAUCUUUUUUCUUUGCUUGUUCUCUGUUUUUCCCAGCUUCUGAAUCCAAGUGCUUGAAAAGAGGGGUAAAAGAAGUAGUGAAGAGUAUUCGUCGCGGCCACAAAGGGUUAGUUUUUAUUUGUAUAAGUUUUUCUCACUCUUUACUUCAUUGCUUCCUUUUUUGGCAAAGAGUGGUAUUUCCUAUGCUCAUAUACUUCUUAUCUGUUGUGACAUUGUAAUCUGUAGAUGAGAGUUGCUGUAUAUAAAAACUCUUUUACAGAUAACCGGCAAAUGAUUUAAUCCAGCUGUUUGAGCCAAGUUUAAGCCCCAGCGGCUACUUUGUUGAACUUUAUGGAUAGAUUGAGGAAUAUAUGAUUUGGACGACUUUAUGGUGCAGUUUGCUGGAAAUGUUCUAUUUUGCUGCUUACUUUGUUGCAAUAUAAAGUAUAUAGUAAGGCAUUACUAUUGAGUAUAAACUAUAGUACUAGCUGACAUCCGAAGGUAUUCGCCGCAUCAAGUAGGGAUGAGGUUUUUAUUCCUUUGUAGAAAUCGCAGUUUUAACAAGAGCAGAGAUGGUUUUGUAGGGAUGGAUUGUUUCUUAAAGGGGAUAUUAUAGAUUAUAGAAUAUAAGGGGAGGAAGAUGAAAUAGAAGAGGGUUCUUCGGGUAAAUAUCAAUCAUUGGCAACAAUGGACAGGGAGCAGAUUUUAAUUGAAGAGGUAGCCGGUCAUUACUAGCAAUGAUAUUCUCUCUUUUAUUGGUGUCUUCUAGUGAUUAGAUUUGUAAAUGGAGGGGCUUUCUUGACCGAUGACAUGAAAUAACUGAGUCUGUUACUUUCUGAGUCUUUCAUUGCCCGGUGAACAACUGUGAGUUUAGUGGGAAGAAUUAUUAUUAUAGCUGUUCGCCAAACAGGGGAUUAUAUUGGGUAUUCUUGAAGUUCGACAUGCUUGUUAAAGAACAUACGGUACCUGUUGCACUGAGAAGAAGUGUCCCGUUGGGGGUGCAGUUUGGGUGGGUUAGGUUUCAGCUAAUUUCCUAUUUUGAUAUUAAAUAUCUAUUUGCCCAUAUUUUCUGUCAUCAAAAGCUAAAAUUUGGUAACAAGAUUACUAUAUUUGGUCGGCAUAUGUUCUCCAUCUGUUAAUUGGAUAAAAAUUCUAUUUUGUUUCACUUGCAUUACUCUACUGAUAUUUGCAGGUUGUGUGUAAUUGCUGGAAACAUCUCUCCAAUCGAUGUGAUCACACACGUUCCUAUUCUAUGUGAAGAAGCCGGGAUCCCUUACAUAUAUGUCCCUUCUAAAGAGGUCAGUUGUUGUUUUAAUCUUCUUUCCUGGUUUUGAUUUGUGCCUACAAUGCGCAAUGGAGUUGUCUUUUGCCAACCAAUAGAGUAUCUGAUGACCAGCAAAUAUUAUCAUUUAAUUUUGUAAGCUUUGAUUUAUAAACAAGAUUUCAUCAGCCGUGCAAAUGAGUUCUAUGCAUUUUAAUCGGCAUUAAGUGCCUUUUUUCGAGUUAGCAUUUGAUUGCCACGCGUUUGGCGAUCAAAAAAGUUUGGAGCUUUUGCCAUGGCAUGAAGUGAAAAUGAGCUCAGGAGCCACAAAGCAGAAGCUUGAAUUUGUAAGACUUUGCUUCUUCAAGGUGAAAAGGCUCUUAUUAGUGGUUAUUUUCGGCGACUCUGACCUUGCGAAACGAGUCAUAAAUGUGAAACUGGUAGAAAUAAUCUUAUUGAAGGAGUCGCGACGCGACCCGCGACGGAUUGUUCGCUUGAUUCCCUGCAUUGAUGUUUCUUCUCAUGAUCACAGGAUCUUGCCACUGCUGGGGCUACCAAGAGGCCUACCUGCUGCGUGUUGGUGAUGACGAAACCGACUAAAGGCGAAUUAGAUGACGAAGUGAAGGAGAAAUUGCAGUCGGAGUACAACCAAGUUGCAUCUGAAGUUGUUGAGAUGGCAUCCUCCAUGUUCUAAAACACACCAUGGAAAAAAAAAAAAAAUAAAAAUAAAAAAAUAGAAAAAAAAGGACCGAAUUCAUGCCACAUCUGCAAGAAGUAUGCUUUAUUUGAUUUCACUUUGUCUUGUUCUAUGUAACGGCUAGUGGGAUAUUAUUGGUUGUUCCGGUUGAUUUAGUUUACCUGUUGGACAAUUUAUAACUGGGGUGUAUGAUGUCAAACUCCUUUAUUUUAAGUUCUAUUUCGUUAAAGAAGAAAAGAAUAGGAAAAGUUAAAACGAAAGAAAAUACCUUCAAACUAGCAAUCAUAAAUUCCAAAAUAUUAUAUUUUGCAAAUAACAAAUUUAAACGGAUUGAGUCUUAAAAGAGAAGGGAAUCAUUUUGGGAGAAUCAAAAAAAAGGUGGGGCAAGAGAGGCCAAGUGUGUUGCAUGCAUAUGGACAAAUUAUACUAUUCUUUCCCGCAAUACUUUUUAUUAUUAUUUACAUAAAAAAGAGGACGGGAAAGGAAAAGAAAAGGAAAAGGAGAGGGGCAUCCUAACAAAGAUAUGCACGCAGAGUCCUCGAGUUUCCAACCCCUCUUUCCUUUUCUCCCACCAACCAAAAGCAAGAUGGGGAAUGUUGUCAUUCUCUUGGGAUUAAACCAUGGUUAAAGGAUGAGUAAACACUAAUUUUAUCCCAAAUGAUAAUUUAAAUUUCUUGUUUAGUAGGUCACCGUGCACACGUCUGUUCUGCUUGAAACAGCAUUCGAAUCGAAUCUCACAGUCCAAAGUGGAAGUUACUGGCUAACUGCUUUAGUAAGUGGUGGUGGUAUACCUGAAUGCGUGUUCACUGUAAUGUGAUUCUAUGUUUUAGUAGAGUCCUUUUUGAAAGUUAAAGGGCCGAGAUUCUUAAGAGUGCGUAGUUAGAUUCCAACCUCCUUAUCAAGUUAAAUUCUUUAGCAAGAAAGUUUGGACCAAACAAGUGGCCCUUGCAAUCUCACAACAGUUGUUUCAAUGUUUAAUAAAGCACUUUUGGUGAACCGAGAGAAUAUCUUAAUUGUCUCUCCCAACUCUCAGAGAUAGCUAGUUCUAUGUAGAUGUAGAUUCACUCUCUAAUUAGUUUAUUUACAUAUGCCCCAAGUGGAAAUUGUCCAAGUGGAGAUUUUGAGUGAUUGUGGUAAUUAAUUUAUAUUUUAUAAGGCUACAUAGAUAAUGGGGAUCAUAUAUAAAGUUUAAUUUAUUCUGGAGUAUUUUCUUUUUUUUGCAGAUAAUUAAUUGUGAAGCAUAAAUAGAAGGACUAUAUGUGGGGAAGAAAAACUUAAAAACACUGGAACCAUGUAACUUUUUUAUUAAUUUAAAGCCAAAAAAAAAAAAAAUAAUAAUCAGAGUAUGGCUUGCAUGUGAAGGCACAAUAGAAUAUGUUCAAGGGGACUGUAACUACUGUAUCAUAAUCUUGAACUAAGACUGAUGUGCCUGUUGUUUGCCUACUUUUGACCUCUAACAAAUGCAACCAAUCAUGCCAAUGAUGAAGCUUGUAAGAUAAUCAAAUGAAAAUCUAAGGGAGAUUAAUAAUGAAUCAUUACAAUUACCAUAUAUGAAAUGAGAAAAAAAAUAGUAAUAACUUUACAAAAAUAACAAAAUUCCUUCAACCAUUAAUCCUAAACAAAGUAUUGUAAGUGUCCAUCUUAAUUAUUUAUAUUCCCAUUUCUUAAAGUAGUAUAUUAUAUUUAAUUACCAAUUGAUACAUGUUUAAUUCCACAUAGCAUCUUCUAUAAUACUUAAAAAAUUACAGUGUUUCUCCUUAAUAGUCGAGUUUUUUUUAUUUUUUUUAAUUUCAGCCAUAAUGUUUUAGCCCGACGUUAGGUAAAAAAGCUAGAAAGAUAAUAUGGUAUCAUAUAUGUAAAAUGACUUGUUGUUCUCUUUCUCAAAAAAAAAGACUUCUUGUUCUAACUCUGAGAUACCACCAUGCCACAAAACUGUAUAAAUUUUUAUUUUAUUUUUAUAUAAUAACAAUAAAUAUAUACAGUAAUAGAUAUACAAGAAAUGUUAUUUGUACACCUAUCUGAUGGGUAUAAAAUUUAUACUCAGGUUAAGUUUUACUUGCUAAAUUUUUUUAAAAAGUCAGAACUCUUAAUAGAUCAUAGAGUAUUGAAAUUUUAUAAUAAAGUGUAAGACCCUGCUUGGUUCAGAAAUAAAGUGGAGAUAAUGAAAAUUACUAUUCCGCCAGCGAUAUAUUUUUCGACCGAAAUAUUUUAUUUUGGUCAAAUUUUGCUAUUCUCGGUUAUCCUAGGAUAAUUCGAGAAAAACUAUUCCGCCCUUCUGGUGCAAUAGCACUAUUUCAAUAUUUAAUUCCAAAUUUUAUUAAGAUUAUAAAUUUUAAGGUAAAUUAUAUAGACACUGUAUAUUUAUAUCAUAAUAAAUUAGUUUUAUUAUGAAACUUAAUAACUCUAUAUAUUAAUAUAUAUUAUUUGUAAUUAAAUAUAACAAUAAAUUAUACUUAAAUUUUAUAAUUAAAUGUUUUAUUAGUAUAUUUUAUAGUAAAUUAUUUCUAUUAAAUAUUACAAUAAAUUAUGUUUAUAACAAAUCAUUUUCAUUAAAUUAUUUUUUUUAUCAAAAUCAAUCCUCGUAUUUUCUAAAUUUUCUACUAUUUCAUAAACUAAUCAAACGUAAUUUAAUUAUUCUUGAAAAUAACAGUAACCAAAUUAUAGAAAAAUAAAUUAUUUCAAAGAUAAAAAAAAUUUAUCUAAUAUUUAUUUUUCUUUGAGAGAUAGAUAGCACGCUACUCGCUUCGUUUAUUUUAUUUAAAAAUAAACUUAGCUGAAAAUGUGAAUCUAGCUACGAUUUAAAAUUGAGACCUCCGAUACCAACCAUCAAACAUUUUGCCACUUACUCUAGGAACAGUCAAUAAUUUAUCUAAUAUUUAUUUUUGUCGAUGUAUUGUAUAUUUGUAUACACUCCUCCCCUCCCAAACACGAGGAAUUCUACACUGUCACACUUGCACCACGUCAUCAAUAACAAGCCAAUCACAUUCCUUCUUUUUAAACAAAAGUACAAUAAAAAUACUUUUUUACAAUCAUGAUGGGACAUAUAUUCUUAAAAUAAUUAAUUUGAUUGAUUUGUUACGCCACGUCACUAAUAUACCCGUUGCAUUCUAGAAUUUUUCCCCAAACACUUGCUAUUUCAGAUUAAGGAACAUUCCUUCCU
rnacentral:lncRNA from 1 species